rnacentral:lncRNA from 1 species
AGCUCAAGGGCUUAGGAUCUGAGUUGUUGUCUUUGAUUCAUUUGGAGAAUUAAAAUAAUUUAGUUAAGAAGUGUGUGAAACUCUUAUUCUUUUAAGUACGAAGUAAAUGCAAUAUCAAUGAAUGCAAUAGGUAUAAUAUAUAAUAUAUAAUAUAUAAUUAUAUUAGUUAAAUUACAUAAGAACAUAUAGAUUGAUGAAGGGCAUUGCAUGUAAAACUUUCAAGGUAGAUUUUUUUAUUAAUAAUAGUACAUAGGUAAAACUCUAGUUUUAUUAAUCUAUCGUGGCUCACUAUGAGCUCUUAUAUGAUAGUAGAUAGCAGCUUAGUAAAGAGUGAUCUAAAUGGAAAAGAUAAGACCCCUUCUUCCACGCCUUCCCUCUUUCUCCCUUUGCUGUUGCUGCUGAGGUUGAGCAUUUGCAAAGUAAGAUUGUUGUUGGUUCUUAAUUAAUCUCUCAACAUCUUCAACAGAACCAGGGAAUGUAAGCUGCUUCACUUCUUUAUCUAACUGUCUUAUCACAUUGUCUUCAGAACCUUUCAAUUUUCAAUAAUUUCCAAACAUAACAAUAUGAGUUAGUAACGCCAAAACCAAAGUCAUAAAGCAAAUAUUAUAAUUUACAAUUAGGUAUUUGUGCCAAAAGUUUAAUUUGUUGCCACAUUGGCUUCGUCCAAAGAUAUAGUUGGUGAUUUGGCGAUCAAUUUUAUAACUGUGUAUCUACCUUUUAAAUAGCAUGUUUAGAUUAAAUUAAAAUAUAUUUAAUUAUAAACUUUGAAGUUGAAUAAUGUUUAUGGUACCUGCAAGGAAAUUCCUCUGGUUUUCAUCAGCAUUGAUGCCAAAUCCAAGCAAGCGAAGAUUUGAGGAAGCGUUGAUGGAAAUUGGAUGACCUGCUGGAAUUACGAAAAUGUCACCUUCUGAUAAUUUAGCAUUGUACCUUCUCACUUCUUCCUGUUCUUGCUCAUCUUGUUGUCGUUCUUGAUCUCUUAUACCCACCAGUUCAUAAUUUCCUUCUCCUUCAUCAACCACGACUACAAAUAUGGCCUUUGAGUUAUAGUGUGGUAACAACAAACCUCCCUAACAUAAAAAAAUCAAAUCAUUAGUAAUAGUAUUGUUGUCUAAGACACAACACCAGUGAAUAAGUUCAAGGAAUUGUGUGUAUUGUUAUUUGGGGUUGGAUGUAAAUAAUGUACCUCGUUAAUUUCUAUGAAGGUGAGAGAGAUAUCCAAAUCCUGAGCUUGAGGGUUUCUGUCUGGGGUGAUCUCGUAGAAGUUGCCAAACUUGUUUGAAUAAAUGGGUUCAUCGCUUCUCAAGUUGAAGGGGCCAGAUUCAGAUGGUUUGCCUUUUCCUGAUGAUGAUUGAGCAUGUUUUCUCAAUUCUUGGAUCUGUUCCUUUGACACUCUCACUAUCACCCCCUCAUCUUGGUGGCUCUGCUCUUGUCCACGACUUUGCUCCUCAUCUUCCUGCCCGUCCUCAUUUCCUAAAAUAAUCCUUUGUAUCUCUUCAUAACGGGUCUAUAUUUGAAAUCCAAACAAACAAAUAUGUGAUCAUUAGUACAUAUACUCAAUAAAUAAUUGUGCAACCAACGCAGAUCAGAUGUCAUACAUUGAAGGUGGCCUCUAAAGUGUUCCUACUGAAGCCGUUGAAGUAAGACUGUUGGUCUUUAGUACUUGAUGGAUAGAAAUCCUAUAAAUAUACAAAUAUAGAGAGAAAGGAGGAAGAAAUUAAAAUUACAUGGUGUUAAAUAUGCAAUGGGUGCAUAGAAAAUUAGAUGAUAUAAACAUAAAAGAUAAUAUGAUUGGAGAAAGAACAUUACAUAGAAGUUGCCAGGGUUGUUGAUGGGUAUUGCGAGCUUGACUACUCUAAGGUUCUGGUUGUCAUCCGGGUUAAGGAUAUAAGAAGUUGUUCCAGCUGGGAGUCUGAGAGCAUCUCCAUGCUCAAGGUUAUAUGCUUGUCUUUUAUCAGGGUUGACUAUCGUGAUUGUCGCNNNNNNNNNNNNNNNNNNNNNNNNNNNNNNNNNNNNNNNNNNNNNNNNNNNNNNNNNNNNNNNNNNNNNNNNNNNNNNNNNNNNNNNNNNNNNNNNNNNNUAUAUAAUUAAAAAUAAAUUGUUGCAUAAAUAACGUACAAUACUAGUGUACGAAUAAUGAUAUUUGUUGAGCUGUUAAGGUUAUACCAAUACCUUACAUAUAAGAUUCAGUUAUAUAUGAUUGUCAAUCACGUGGUUACUAGGUGUGAAUUAAAGAUCCGAUUAAACAAGAUUUGGUCAUAUAUGAUCAUUGAUUACUAGAAUUUCUAACUUAACUGUGUGAAAGAACGAUAUUGGAAGAACUAUUUCUAAAUAUUUGUAUGAUACAAAUUAGAUAAAAUAGCAAAUAAUCUAUAUAAUGAAUGAUACACAUACUUCAGUGGGACAAAGGGGGGAGUAAACUUUACACUAACAACUCAAGGGUACAGAGAAUUUUAAUUUAGUGAUCAAGUAUUAAAUUAUAGCUGUGAUGAUAAGUUAUAUAUACUAAUUUUUUUAUAUAUUUACUUCCAACUUAUUGAAACUUGAGAAGUAUGCUUACAUUUAGAGAUGUAUAGUUAUUAGUCAUAAGUGUCAUCAAAUCGGUCAGAGUAAUAGUAUAGUGGUAUAGUGGUUCAACCGAUGGUUCAUUAAUUAAUUUUAUGUCGGUUAAAUCCGACAUACAUGCUUAUCUAUACAAUCUUUAAUAAAAAAAUUAACUAGGUAAAUACUCAAAUUUAAAAUUCAUGUUCUUAGUCUACUAAGAAUACCCAUAGAUAAACAAUUUUAACAAACAAAGUCUGGCCCAUCUUCCAUUGAUGCAAAUCAACUAAUUGAACAAAUAAAAGAACUAAGUAAGGAAGACGCACUUUACAAUAACAAUUAAAAAUCCUAACAUGUAAGGUAAGAAGAAAGAGAGAGAUGAUUUAAGGCGGGAGAUGAUAUAAACACACACCUUAAUGGGCAAUGACUUCAACUCUACAAAGAAUUGGAUGGAACGAAGAUGAUAGGUCGGUGGAAGGGACUGGACAAAGAUGAUACCUCGGGGAAGCCUGGAACUAUAAAAGAAAUGAAGAAGGGUUGAAGAAGUGUGAACAGUGGAAGGAGAAAAAUCGAAUAAGGGUAGAAGAAUUGUGAACCGUGUAGCCUAGAACUUUUUUGAAAACCCUACUUCCCUAAAACGACGCCAUUUAUGGUUAUUUUUUAAGAAUAAAAUACAUGUAUAAACCGGCUAAUUUAGUCAAAUUUCGCCUGGUUCACCAGUUUUGAUCAAAUUCGGUCGGUUUUCACUGGUUUUGGUACUUGGUUAGUAUAACAACCAUACUGUAUCGGUUAGGGGUUCGGUUCACCGGUUCUUCGAUUGACAUGGACGGUACGGUUUUUACGUUAUGGUUUGUUAAUGAGAUGGGGAAUAAGUAUUUUAACAAUCAAAAAUCAAAAUUAUAAAAGGUAAAUAAUUAAGUUUAUUUCCUAAUAUUUGGUGUAUCUUUCAAUAAUUAUAUUAAAUUCGUUUUCGUACUAACUUAAGUGAAGAAAAAAAUUAAGUAAGAGAAAACUUGUAAUUGUUUAUAAAUGUUAGGGUUGCAAUUUGUUCACCAAGUAAUAAUCAUUAAAGAUAUAAUGUUGUAUUUGUGGCUGAUGGUUGUUAAAGUCUAGGUUAUUUUAUAGAAACUUUUUAUUGCCUAAACGUUGGGGUGUAAUCAUUUUGAGACUGAAAUAGACAAAUGGAAUGUCAUAUUACUAUAUGAGAUGCUCAAGUUUUAAUUUCCAUGUUUUUUUUUUAAAUUAUCAUAUGAAAGAUUAUAAAAAAUAUUGAUAUAUUUUUGUACGUUUUAUAUUGACAAUGCUUUUUUAUUUGGGUUAUUCUAGAUAGAAGGUGUUGGUCUAAUAUUGUAAAGCCUCAUUAGAUCCUCAAGAUGACUAAAACGUCAAUGAUUCGAUUUAUGUAAGCGAAAUUUGUUGGCAGGGGCAGUCAUACACACCAAAAGAGAUUAGUUUCUUACCCAAGGGUGAAGGGAUACCGUUUUUAGUACCCAAAAAAAUAAAAUUUGUCUUGUGGACAUCUUACUCUUAUUUAUAAAUGUAUAAUAUAUAAUUACAUUUUUACUUCUUCCAUAUCAUAAAUAUUUCAUAAAACAAUUCAUAUCAACAUAAUUAUUUCUUAAAUUCUUUUGCUUAAUAUUUUUUACCAUUGUGAUCUAGUGUUAAUCUUUUAUAAUUUUUCAAAUUUAUUUAAUAAAUGCAUAGACACAUUUUCUUAAUAUAUAUGAUAGUGAAUUAAAAAAUCAAAUAAAAUUAAAUAAAACCUUUAGAUGAUAAUAUGAGAUAUUAACUAUGAUACUUCUACACAAGAAACUGAAAAAAGCUCAAGGGCUUAUGAUCUGAGUUAUUGUCUUGGAUUCAUUUUGAGAAUUAAAAUAAUUUAGUUGAGAAGUGUGUGAAACUCUUAUUUUUUAAGUGAGAAGUAAAUGCAAUAUCAAUGAAGGAGUGCAAUAAAAUAAAAGAGAAGAAGAUAAAAUACUUUAUUAAUAGGGUUCUGAUCAAUUUUGUAUACGUACCUAGAAGCGUACAGUAGUUAUCAAUAUAUAUUUUUAGAGAAUAAGAAUUACAAGUUCUAACAAAUUCAUGGGCAUAAAAAACUCAUAUGGUGUUUCUAAUUUGUGCAAGUUAUAAUAAGUAUCUUGAGCCUAAUAUUUAACAUUGUUUCUCUUAUUCUUCCAAUACUAGGCAAUGUUUUACUUAUUACAAUAAUAUAUUUCAAGCAUCUCCAACAAUAUCAACCUUGAUUGAAAUAGACUAAUAAUUCAGUCUUUAGGAAAUUUAUACAGCAAUCUUCACCUUAGUGAAUAUUUUAUUCCUUAAUAAAUAUACGCAACAAUCACCACCUUAGUGAAUAUCCAACUCCAUAUUACGCAAUGACUAACUCUUUUUAUGAGCUCCUCCAUUGGACUUCUUCCACAUGUGAGAAUGCUCAUCUUCAACAUAAGUCGAGUAUCCUUUAUGAUAUUACCAAGAUUUAAGUUGUCCCAACUCAAAUUUUGAUGGAGAACCAAUUUCACGACUUCGGAGUAUGGGGAAAUAGAUUCCUUUUCUACAAAAUGAUUUGGAGUUGUCACUACAUUUUUUUUAUCAGAAUAUAAAUUUUUUCUUUAUACCCAAAUAGAAAACAAAUAUGAUUAUUGAACUAAAGUUCAAAGCUUGGGAGUCAAUUACAGGUCGGGAAAGGUAUUCACACCACAUCUGAUCGUAUUAAAACAAUAGCCAUGCUAACUAGAUGGAUCCUUAUGCCCCCGGUUUAUUUUUUAAAAUAUUAAUUACUAAAGAAAAGUAGUAUUUUUUUUACCUAAGAAGAGCUUAUUUGCUUUAAUGCAUCCUCAUGUUGUAAUAUGAAAAUCAAGACAACAUUGUUCAUGGCUGAAAAUUGAUCAAUGGAUUUGUAUAAAUUUUAUUAAAGAAUUAAUAUAAAAUUAAAGGAGGUCAAUAGCAUAAGAGAUUGUAUUAGUUGUAAACCAACAUCUCAAUUUGAGAGGUAACAUAGAUAGUAUUGAUAACCGCAAUUGUUUCUCUACAUAUAUAAGAAAUUAAGAUACCACAUGAAUAUCAAACUCAUUAUUAGAUUCCAAAAACGGUUUAUCGAUUUUCAUAUAAAAAACUCACAACCACACAAAUUUCUUAUCAUAACAAUGGUGAUUUUAAGUUGUUUUACUAUAUACUAUAUAUUUCCAUUAACAAUAUACAAAUCCUCAUUCCAUUUUCCAUUAUAUAAUUAACAUAACUAAGUUAAUUAACAUGGUCAAGUUCCUUAUGCAUACUCAAGUCAUUGCAGCUUUCUUCGCUGUCAUUCUACUUCUAGCACAUAUUGAGAUGUGUCCUAUAUUAAGUAUUAACAUAGAAGCAUAAAUCAAACCCAAAACCAUGAAUAGUUGGUUAUCUCAGAAUAAUUGUUUAACAUCAGCAUCAAGGUAUGACACACCGACAUGGUGGUUGUCUUUUAAAUAGGAAAAGUCUCUUGUCUCCGUCUAACAUCAGCAUCAAGCAUGCUACCAAAUUCCAAUAUAGGGAUUUAUAUUUUGAAGAAUAAUUAUUAUCAUUGAUAUAUUAUACCUUAUUUUUUAUUAUAUUUUUUAAUGUCUAGGUAAAAUGACCGAAGUGGUUGAGAACCUGGAUACUAUCAUUCAUGAAGUAGUAAUCACUGAUGAUGAGGACUAUGUGGAGGAAAUAGAUGAGAGUGAAAGUGAGAGUGAGGAAGUGAAUGAAAGUGAAGGUUUGGAUAGUGGAAAUGACAACGAUGGAUUUAAUAACUAUGAUGAAAAACUAGAUUUUUGUGUGGGGGUUCAUUCAGAUGAUGAUUUAGUUGAAAUUUAUGUUGAGAGAAAGGUGGUUGGAGAACAAUUUAAACUCCAAUCUGAUGGUAAGGUGAAACUUCAAACCAAUAUGUUACUAUUGUUAGAGAAACUUCAAACCAAUAUGUUCAUAAACGACUUACCGGCUUGAGCUACUAUUGUUAGAGAAACAAAUCCUGGGAGUAAAGUGACGAUGGAGUUUGCAAGGGUCACAAUUGAUAGGAACCCACAAUUUAAACGAUUAUUUGUAUGUCUUGGUGCAAGGAAAAAAAGAUUUGUUAGAGGUUGUAAGCCUUGGUUUAGAAUUGAUGGAUGCCAUUUAAAAGGUCCUUAUGAAGGAAUUUUACUUGCUGCAGUUGCCCUUGAUGGAAAUAAGGGUAUAUUUCUUAUUGCAAUUGUUGUGGUAGAGGUGGAGUGUAAGGAUUCAUGGAGGUUUUUUCUCACCUUAUUAACUGAAACUUUGCACACUCUACCAAAAUGGAAGGAGAAUAAACUAACCAUUAUGUCAUAUACACAAAAGGUUAGUGUGUUUAAAUUAUAUAUCUCCCUAUAGUGAAUAGAUAAUGUCUCUCUAAUUAUUGCUCUUCAACUUAAUUGUUGUAUAAAAAGAACAUGUUGUGAGAAAUGAAGUAAUUCAGGAUAGGAUGUUAUAUGUUUUUUUUUUUAUAUUUUGGUUUAAGUUAGAGAUAUUAAAUGAUUCUUUAUUUGAAUUUCAGGGCUUAAAAGAUACAGUUAGUGAGAUAUUUUCAAAUGCACAACAUAGGUAAAUGAUUAAUUAUAAUCUUAUAUUGUUAAUAUUUUAAAAUACUUUAUUAAUCACUACUUGUUUUUGUUAAUAGGUUUUGUUGCAACCACUUGUUGAAUAACUUCAAGCUUCGAUUCAGGUCUUUAAUACUAACAACAGAGUUUUGGGCGGUUGCAAUGGCUUAUAAUGAAACCAUGUUUAAUAAAGCCAUUGCUACUAUGAGAAGAAUAAAAAAUGAUGUUCUAGAAUGGUUGCUAGAUGUUGAUAGGCAAGGCAUACAAUUGAUCCAAUCUGUAAAAGUGAUCAUGUGACCAACAAUGUGUGUGAAGUGUUUAAUGCAUGGAUUGUAGAUGAUAGAAAGAAGACUAUGUUGUCUAUGAUGGAGUCUAUUGUGUGUAGAUUAAUGGGAACAUUUGAAAGAAGGUUUGCAAAGGGUUGUGGUUUUGAGCACAACAUAACUCCUAAUAUUCGGAAGGUUUUAAACACUAACAUGCAAGAUGGGAGGUUCUGUACAAUGACUUAGUUUACUUAGUUUGCCAUGUUUUACUUCUAUGUAUCUACUUAGUGUUUACCAUGGAGUGCUGGUUAUAUAGUUAUGGAACAUUUAAUUUCUAUAUGUGUAUGUUAAUUUUACAUGCUUAGUUAGUGUAUAUAAUGAUGCGGUAAUUAUUAAUAUAUUUUUUAUUGUUCGUUUUUAUUUUAUUAUUUCAAGCAAAUGAUGAUGCAAGUAUAUGUGAUAUACCUUUCAGUGCAAGAGAAUUAUACGGUGCCAACAAAAUUUAGGAUAUUUUUUAUGUAUUUUGUUUUUAAAAUUUCAUAUGAGACUACUUUUAGUUUUUUUCUCCAGAUUUUAUGGUGUAUUUGGAUUUAUAAUGAAACAUGAACCGUAACUCUUUCAACUUUGUUAUGUUUUUUUAGUUAUUUGCAAUGAAAUUUUAUUAUUGCUAACAAAAUUUGGAUUUAGUAUUGUAAGUUUAAAUAAUUAUUAUAGAUUAAUGAGAUUAAAGUUAUAAAAAUUAUGAAAUGAAAUUGAGGUUAAAAUCCUCUAGAAACAUAUAAUAGUUACCUUCCUGCAGGUUUCCAUAUAUAAUUUCGAGUAGUGAAGAUUGAAAAUCUCCACAAUUAAACGAUCUUAAAUAGUGAAGGUUUAAAGCCUUCAUGCUAAAUAAUACAAAAAUCUCCUCAAAUAGUGGAGGUUAAAAAACUCCUCAAAUAGUGGAUGUUAAACUAAUGAAUGAUGAUUCAUUCCUAAAUAAAUACAUUUAAUACAAAUAUUGAUAAUAAAUGAAUAAAUAUAUUGAAAGAAUAAACUAAUAAAUACGAUGUUACUAUUAAAGACAUAUUACUAAUAUGUUAUUAUCUAGAAAACUAAUUAAUAUAUAUUACACAUAAUUUUCAUUAAUUUCUUAAAUAUAGGUAAUGGAUAGAAUAUAAAAAUAGUCAUAAUAAAUACUAAAUAGAUUUUGAUGAAAAAGAAAGGUUUGAGUUAGGUUUAUUUUAUAAAAUAAAUUAUGAAAAAAAUUUUUUUAGGAGGUUGAAUAAGUUAAAUGAUAGAAAGGUUUUUUAAUUAAAAAAAAUAAAUAAGAUACUACAUUGGUUGUUAAUUGAUGUUGCAUCCCAACUUUCAGUCAAUCAUCAGUUAUAUGACAGGUUUGGAUCCACCACUAUAUUUUUGCGGUCAAAAUAAAGAAAACAUUCUUUAAACCCACCUUUAAGGAAUAUGUUGUCUCACAUGAUAGGAUUUUGCUCCUACGUCUCCCUCUCGGCAAUAGAGAAUCAAGACUACCUAGUUCUUUAGUAGAAAAUAGUUUGUUGGUUGAGUUUAUAUUAUUUCUGAAUAGGAGAAGAUGUUUUAAUUUUAAUAUGGUGUCCAUAAUUAAAUGAGUAAAUUACAACCAUAAUGUAUGAUAUCGCAUUUCAUAUUAAGGAGGUAAAGCUUAACCAAAAUCAAUAUUUUUUAAUGUUUAAAGGUUUUUUAGAAAGGUGAUACACAAAGGAAGAGAUUAGCUGCAAAAAUAAUUAAUCGAUCCCAUUAGGAUUCUCUAGUGUUUCUCUCUAGAACUUUUAUGUUACUCUCUGUUUUCUGGAAUAUUUUGAUGUGUUUUCCGGUUUUUUCACUUUGUCAAGAAUGCAAUACCUCUAUUUAUUGGAUGGACUUCACAUAUGCAUAAAAUAAAAGUGAAUCACUUUCAUUAAUGCAUCGAAUCAAUUAAAACAUUUUAUUGGGUGUAAGAUUGUUUCUGAGAUAUCUAGAAAUAUCUCUUAAUAACUUUAUAAAGUCAUAGAAUAUUAUGGUGACACUCAUAUUAAUUCGGCUUUAAAAUUAAAAGUGUCCCAAAUGCUCUAUUUUGGGUAGAAAUUUCAUAACAAGUUCAAAAGGAAAUCACAAAUGUUCUUUUAUAAAAUGGGAUCUCUCCAUUAAUAGGUUAAUAAAUUCAUUAAGUCACUUAAAACCCUUUUUGAUUUUAUUUUAAAAAUAAAAUUAAAAUUGGUGAGAGAAAUUAAUUUGAAAUAAUAUCCUUGUAAAAAAAAUUAAAAAUUGUAUCCAAUAAAUCUUGAAAUAGUAUCCCACCAUUAUUGAGUCAAAUAAGUGAUCUUUAAAUACCAUUGUUUAUUGUAAAGAAAAUCAAAAGUUGGGAGGGAAGUUGACUUAGAUGGUGUAUCUAGUCAAUUUAUUCACAUUAAGUCAUUUAAACCCGUUUUUUAUAUGAGUGUAAAAUAAAAAUUUAUCCUUUUUAUUUGUUGUUUACCAUAAUAGCGAGCAAAUUGAAGUUUGAAAGAUAUCAUGUCAGGUAACUAUUAAGGAAUUGAACACUGAUUUUGUCAAGGUUAAAAGAACUUACAUAUUCAAACUUUAGAUGCCUCGUAGUGAGGUUGAAACUAGUCAACGAUGCAGACUGAAAUACAGUAACCAUUAGUUUUAUGUAGUAGCUCGGGAAGCUUCUGGAAUGGAAAUCAUCAAUUUGUUGCGGCAGUUCUAGAAUCUGCUGAAAGGGAAACCAUCAAUUUUGUGACAUAGUCUGAGAAUCUUCUGAAAAAUGAAACAAUCGAUUUGGUGAAGGAGUUUGAGACUAUGCUGAAAGGGAAACCACCGAUUUGAUGAAGUAGUUUGAGAAUCUACUUAAAGGGAAACCAUCGAUUUGGUGAAGCAAUUAGAGAAUCUUCUAAAAGGGAAACCAUUGACUUGGUCAAGUACAUCGAGAAUCUGCUGAAAUGGAAACCAUCAGUUUGGUUAAGUAGUACGAGAAUCUGCUAAAAGGGAAACAAUCGAUUUCGUGAAGCAUUUUGAGAAUAUUCUGAAAGGGUAACCAUCUAUUUGGUGAAGUAGUUUGAGAAUCUGUUGAAAAUAAUGAACCAUCACUUUGGUGAAGCAUUUUGACAAUCUGUUGAAAUUAUAACCAUUGAUUUUGCGAAGCAGAUCGAUAAUCUACUAAAAGGGAAACCAUCGAUCUAGUGAAGCAUAUCAAGAAUAUGCUAAAAGGGAAACCAUUGAUUUUGUGAAGCAUGUCGAGAAUCUAGGAUAGAGAAACUAUCGAUUUGCUGAAAAAAUUGAGAAUAUGGUGAAAGGGAAACCAACAGUUUGAUGAAGUAGUUCGAGAAUCUACUGAAAAGGAAAUCGCUGAUUCGAAGAGUCAGAUCGGGAAUCUAUUGAAACAAGGCUUACGGGCGUCUCAACAUCAGAGUGUGAACAUGAUGAUAAACGUAGUUGAGAAAGGGAUGGCCCCACAUUGUCUAGGCCAAUUAUAUAUGUAGUUGGGAUGUGAAGAUGCAUGUAUUGAUGUUUGAUUAUUUGUGGAUAUGAAAUGACUUGAAUAUAAAUUUUCUUCUAUAUUUUGUAUGAGAUGAGUAUACAAUAAAGGGAAAGACUCAUACACAAAUAUUCUAAUGUAUCACUCUUGAUUUAUUUUUUCUUGGGAUGGAAAUCAUAAACCUUUGUGGAUUUGACUAAAGCAUCCAUUUAUGAUUAUUUUUUUUAGCAUGAUUGAAUGACAACUUGUCUUUCUUAAAAGUGCUUUAGUUUGCUUGAGGAGACAUUUCCAUUAAAGUAAUUCAUACAAUGUGCCCUAGUGCCGUCUUGAAUGACUAAACUCACAUAUAUUGCUCUAGCGUAGGUUGGCUGAGAGUUUCUUUCAAAUGUGUUUGAAUCAAAAAUUUAUCAUUGUGCCUAUUUUGAACUUUUGACUUCAACUUGGAUGCCAUUAUUCAGAUUCUCCAUAAAGAUGCCCCAAUUUGGGAAAUUAAGGAUAAGGGGUAGUAAGCCUUCACAUUGAGGUGCACAUUUAAUUUUCCUUAACUUUUAUCAAGAAUACCUAGUGUAUGUGCUUGUCGAGAAUUUUCUCAUUUAUUAUCAUCCUUAACCACCUUUUCAUUUUUUGACUUAUAAUCACUCUCCUUUUCCUAGAUUGCUCAUGUGGGUUUUCAACCUAGCACACAUUUUUUGUUUUUUUUCUUUGAUUUUUACUUUUUACUUUCUUUAACACCGUCGACUUGGUGGCCUCAUUUGAUAGUAAGUAGAAGUCUUGUGUUGGUCAUUGUUGGAGUUGUUCUUCACAAUCAUAACAUAGUAUCAUUCACUUCUUGGUUGAUAGAUUAUCCAUUUUCUAUUAUUGGCAUGACUUAUAAGGCCAUGGGAAGCAACUCCGUACUGCCUCAUUUUUUGGCUUCUUGUAACUUUUCACUAGAAAAAUGGGAACACCCCAAAAAAAUGGCCCAACAUGGAUACAAGGAUUUAUCCUUCUAUUCAAAUUGUCCUGAAAUGAAAAAUUUGGAAGGACUUAGACAAUGAAUCAUCUCAAAAUAUGCCCUAGUUUGAAAGGUUUCCAUGUUUCUUUUACUUUAGAAGUCUUUAUUGUAUGCACAACUCUUUAAGAAUAAAUAUUAAAACAAUGAUCAUGCAAACUUGACAAGUGUUUGGAUUAUGUGUGGUGAUACGAUAAUGAUUAUAAAAUUUAAUUUUUGUUUAAGCUUUUGUAUAUGUGUUGUUUAAUUUGUAUGUGGUUGCGAGUGUUGAUAUGUUUAUGAUGAAUAUAAAAUGGAACUUGUGUUUGGGUUUUGAAUUUUGUUGAUGGUGGUGAUGGUGAUGAUGAGAACCCUAUAAGUUAACGCAUAAGGAACGAUUAUGAUCUCCAAUGUACCAAAUCACAAAUAGUUUUCACCUCUCCCCAUCAGAGAGAAAAUGAAGCUCCCAAAAAAAAUAAUGAUUUGGUUGAGGAAGCGCAUCAUACCAAAACUCUCUGAAAAUGUAUAUCAAAAAAGUAGAUCAGAGAACAUGGAUUCAGGUAUAACUUUGUAUCAUAGUUCUAUAUUAUGUAUGAGAAUCAUGAGAUUCAAGGUCCUAGGAUUGGUAUUUCACCAAUCAUUAGGAAAUAUAUGACAACUAGUAUCAAAUCUUUAGGUUCUGAAUUUUAUGGUUCUCCAUUAAAGAUGUUUUUACCAAAUUUUUUUAUAAACCCUAAUUUUUUAAAUUUGGGGAUUUUUAUGCUUCUGCUCUUGGUUAUGGGAAUAGUGUAUUUAUGAAUAAUGACGAUAACUUUUAUCCGCUUCCGCUUAUUUGAACUAUGAGUUGUUUGUAUUAUGAAUCCUUACAACAUGUGUUGAAGUAUAUAUUUAGAUUUGUGCAUGAACAUUGCAUUAACUUUUAUGACUCUAUUAUGCAAUAUGUAUAUUAUAGGUGCACUAGUGCCUUACUGUUGGACAUUGACUUUUUCACUUUAUAAUUUUGCAAUUGGCUGACGUAUAUCUAUAAGGUAUAUAUGAGUUAAGUUGUGAUUAUCACUUAUACAUAUACGAUAUGGAAUUCAUUGUCUUGUAUAUAUAUUAUGAAUUAAAAUAUACAUAUAAAAAUUGUAAUUGUUUCCAACUUGAGGUUGUUGUGAUGUUUGAAAUUACUUAUAAAAGUUAAUAUAUAUAUAUAAAAUGGUUACAAUACUUAAAGUUAUAUAUACAUUUACUAUGUUAGUGUGUGAAAGUGUAUAUACAUUGUACAUAUAUGUUUUAAGAUAUGCAUGAUCAUAUUCAAUUUGGAAUUUUUUAUAAUGAUUUGCAUAUAUCUUUUUAUGCUUUUCACUCUAGAUCAAUUUUUUAUUUUAUUAAGAUUACAUCCAUUUUUAUAUGUUGAUAUAUAUGCCAUAUAUCUUUUUUGAUUUGGAAUUAUAUUAUUGGAUUAGAUUUGUUAAUCAUAAAAGAUAUUAAAUCUGAAGGUUUUAAUUCCAAGAUCAUAAUUUAUUUUAUAAUGGACCUAUAUUGUUUUCCUUUUCUGUGGUAAUUAUUUUUGAAAUAAUUGGUGCAAUUGUUGUCAAAGUAACCUUUAUCGUGGAAAUUGAUAAAUAAUACAUAGAUGAGUAUGAGAUUAUUUAUGAGAAUUGUGUUUUGUCAAGUAAUAACAUACAUGUGAUGAUAAAUAAGUAACAAUUAUAAAGUUUUUUUCUUGUGAAUAAUAGUCGAUCCAAAGAAAGACUAUUGUUUGACAAAACUAAUUGUUAAUAUUUGAUCAUUACGUUGAGAGUACCACUUACAAAUUAUUUUCUCUGUCCGAAGACUAGAAAUUGAUGUUGUGCUAGGUAUCUUGUGACGAGUCUAUUAUGUGAACAUGUCUUGUUUUAUAUGUAUUACCUGAUUUGUUUGUUUAAAUGGUUGCAACACUUACGGUUUUUUGUAUUAGUUGGUAGCUGAUUGCAUUAUUAAGAGGUUGCUAUUGUUGAAACACUAUUUCCAUUUGAACACUGUGUCGUACUAUGUUUAGUCAUGUAUAAAAUGGUAAUAUAUUUUUAAUGGAAAAUUAAAAAGAACCAUCACUGGAAUUUGAAAAGCAGAUCUUUGUGAUGGAAAUUAUGCAAUGCUACCAACAGGCUAUAGUGUAUAUAUUAUAUAUAUGUGGAUAUAAAUAAUUCAUAUUUUGGAUUAAGUGUUGAAUCAAACUUAGUUAAAUGGUUUUAAUGAAAUUGUUUGACAUUUUAAGUGAACCUAUUAAAUAAGAAGUCGCCAAAGUGACAUCUUUUCUAUGAAUUGUUCAUAAUAAAUGUCAAAUACUAGUGUGAAUAAGUAUCUAUGCGAGUAUUAAUUGGCUCAAAUGAAGAUUAUUAUUUGGUCGAAUUAUAUACAUACAUAUGAUGGUAAACAUGUGACUAUUUUAAGGUUGAAAAUGUGAAUGAUAAAUUAGUCUAAAGAAAGAUUGAUUAUUUGACAUGCAUUAUGAUUAAUGUUUAACCCUAACAAACAAAUAUCAUUAGUGAUUGAUAUUAAAUAUCAAGCCAAAUGAAUGUUUGCAUUUUAUGUGACUAGUGAUCAGCCCAAAGGAAUAUUAUUAUUUGGCCCAAAUUACAAACAUACUUGUAGUAAUAAUAUGUAAUAAUCAUAUGCCUUUCCAUGUGAAUAAUAAGUCGAUCCAAAGAAUAGCUUAUUGUUUGAUAUGACUGAUUAACAAUGUUCGAUUACUAUAUUGAGCGUACCACUUAUAAGUUAAUAUUUUUAUCCAAAGACUAAAUAUUAAUGUUGUGUUAGGUAACUCAUGAUGUGCCCCACCAUCAUUUGAAUUUAGGUUUUAAAGUUGAAUGUGAGUUUAAUUGCAAGAAUGGUUGCAAGAAUGACUACAAUUUGUUUUGUUCUUUUACUAGUGCUACAAAUAUUUUUGUUCAAAUCGAGAAUAUCUCAUUGUUGAAUGGGACACACAUUAAGGUCUAUAAGGAAGCCGUGGAAAUUAUUCUCGGCUAUAUGGAUUUAGAUCUGGUACUUCAAGUGGAGGAAUCCAUUUCAACUCUGUAAAUCCUCGAUGAGGUUAAAAUUGAGAAAUUGGGAUUCUCUUAUCGUAUGUGUCUAAUGAUCAUGAAACAAUAUAUUCUAGAAGUGUUUCAGAAUUCUAUUUUUGAGGGUCAAAGUGCAAGGAAGUUCCUUCAAGAAAUAGAACCAUACUUUUGCAAAAAUGAGAAGGCGGAGACUAGUAGCUUUUUUGGGUGAAAUCAUCUCCAUGAAGUAUAAAAGCAUAUGGAACAUAAGGAAGUACAUUAUGGAGAUGCCUAAUCUUGCAUCAAAACUCAAGUCACUUAAGUUAGAGCUGGGUGAUGACUUGCUCGUGCACUUGGUUUUGAUCUCGCUUCCUGCACACUUUGGGACAUUCAAAGUGAGCUAUAACUCUCAAAAGAACAAAUGGUCUCUCAAUGAGUUUAUAUAUCAUUGUGUCCAAGAGAAAGAGAGGUUCUAGAGAGAUAAGACUGAAAGUGCUCAUUUGGCUAUGACCACUCAGAAUAAGACAAGAACGAACAAUAUGGAUGUUGUGAAAGAGUUAUUUGUGUUUUUCGUAAGAGAUUGUGGAUUUGUUCCGCAAUACACUAUGCCAGACAAACCUAAAAUAAAAGGUGUUGUUGGCCGAUGAAAAGAAACUCUUAAGGAUAUGGUGAGAAUUAUGCUUAGUCAUUCUUCCACACUAGAGUCUCUUUGGAGGGGAAAAACCGUUAAUAAGACCAAGCUUAAAACAUUACACAUUUGGGGUUGUUCAGCUGAGGACGGCCUUAUAGGCCACAAGAAAGGAAACUCGACUCAAGAACAGUUAGAUGUUAUUUUGUUGGCAAUGUUGAGCGCUCUCGAGGCUAUAAAUUUUACGAUCCUACUUCAAGAUGUUUUUUUUUUUGGGACGGGAAAUGCAAGAUUUCUUGAGGAAGUUGAUUUUGGGAAGGAAGAGAACAUAAGGAAUGUUAUCUUUGAGGAAGAACAUGUCACUUGUAGUGAACAAGUUCUUGUGUCUAUUACCAUUCAAGGAACCACUUUGGUAAUAGAAGAUAAUGUUUAGGAUAUUGUUCCUGACAAUAUUCUAGAACAAGACAACAAUGAGGUUCUCUCUCAAGUACCUAAAGAAAAAAUUCAACAACCUCAAGAAGUAGGGGUGCCAUUAAGUAGAUCCACAAGAGAGAGAGGAUGUGCAAUUCCUGAUGAAUAUAUUGUAUUUCUUCAAGAACAUGGGGAUGACAUCGGGAUAACAUAAGAUGAUCGAUUGAAAAAUUGUCAAGACAUGAAAACUUCUAACUCUCAAAAGUGGAUCAAUGUCAUGAAGAAUGAGAUGAAGUCUAUGCAUGAUAAUAAUGUUUGGGAUAUUGUCGAAUUAACUGAUGUUGCGAAACCUAUUGAUAGGACAAAUUGCAAGUGGACGGUUAUAUCGUCAUGUAAUAAAAUAUCGAUCCCACGAGGACUAGAAAAUACUUUAAUUAUAACAAUUAAUUUAUAUGUAACUCAAAGAAGAAUUAUAAGUGAAUUUAGAACAAUUGAACAUUUGACAAGAAUAAUAAUGAAAAUAUUAAAAAGGAUUGAAAUCUAAUUUAGGAAGAGUUCCUAGGAUAAGGGUUUACCCCUUUACACUCACAAAUCCUUCUUUUUCUCCUUUUAAUGAACUUUAAGUUGUGAGGUUGAAUUGCUCUUUGAUAUGUGUCAUCCUCUCUCGAGCACCUACUCUCAUGGUAUGAUUAUCAAUUGAAUCAUUUACUUGGAUCUUUCUAUCCAAUCGCUUCGUAGCAAUCCAAGGUGAAUUCCAGAAAACCUUGAGAAUCGUAAGACUACUCUCCUGAAUUAGGAUUCUAGAUUGAAUAACUGAGUGAUCGGAUAGUUGGGUUCACCUCUCGGUCCUUCCCCAAUGUAUCUAAGAGAUGUAAUUUGUUGGCUAGACAACUCACACUAAUAAAACUCAGUUUAAUGAUUCAAAUCCAACACUCAAUGGAAAAGAAGUAAGAACAGUGUUUAUUGAAUGUAAAAGGGUGUGGAUCCAAUCCUAGAAACAAAGGGAAUUACUCACUCAUAAUGGAGAAGAGAAUACAAAGUUCUAAAUUAGAGAAUUGUAAUGUAAAGUAUAAAGUGUAAAGUGUGCUUAAUCCUUGAGGGAGAACCCUCAUUUAUCCUCAUUAAAAAAUAUUGGGCUCAACCCAACAAAACAAAUCUAAAAAAUAGGAAUAGAAUAUAACAUUCACGACUUCUUUUGGCCCUUCAAUUGGUCUUCGCAUAGCCUCAAUACUGAAUUUCAUCUUCUUGCACCCAAUCUCUACUCUUUUUGGCUUCAUUCCAUCCAAAUUGCACAACAUAGCCAAAAACACAUACUCAACCUGAACAAAGAGAAUUAAAAGCUAGAAACAAUCCUAUAGUGUUAAUUAUGUCCUAAAAUGCAAUUCAAAUAUAGCAUAAUUUCACACGCAUCAAAUCCUCUCAAGCUUAUCUCUUGCUUAUCCUCAAGCAAGUAUUAUGUCUAUCUUUUACAAUCACGCAUGAAUGAUGAUAUAGAAACCAUGACCCAAAAUAAUUAGCAAUCUCAUGUUAGUUUUGAAACAAUCUAGACAUUAAGACAAAACAAUCAUAAACAAAUUUAAUUCAACCUAAGUCUUUGAGUCAUAACAACUGCAUGAAUUGGGUCACUCUCCUCUCAUUACUCUCAUGUGUUUAAAGGUCAGUAUUUCGCUCAAAUUUUCAUGAAAGUAAAUUACCAUAGGCUUGAUUAUAGACCAAAUCGCACUAGAUGUAUUUGAAUGCAUGCAAAAAUUAAGAGGUCUUUAAAUGGUUGUAAUGAGGUCAAGGUGAAUGAUUUAUGGUGAGAUAAACAAAGAAAAGGUACUUCAAAAGGCUUACAAAUUAUGUUAAGAAUUUUGGAAUGGUGCAUAGAAAUGUAUUACACCAUACUUAAUUAGAAAGGAACUUCGUAUUUUUUAUGACUUCGCUACUGUGUAACUAUCCAUUUAUUCAGCAUCUCAAUCAUUUCUAAAAAGGGAUGAUAAUAAAUCAACCUUGAACAGAGUGUAGGAAAGGCUUUCUUACAAUGCUUCUAUUGUGAGAAAGGAACUUUGUGCUCUUAGUACUCGGUAAUCAUCCUGAUGUUUUGCAAUUUAAUUAUGAAAACAUUUUGUUAUUUAAUCAUCGUGAUAUUGAUAAAUCAUUUUUAACGGGUGUGAAGAAAAUGUUUUGUUAUGAUACUUUUAUUGUGACCAUAGACCAUCAACCAUUACUUAUUAUCACUAUUCACUUUCCUUGUGAUUAAACUUUCUCUUGAUUUGCAUAUACAGAUGGAAACGAGUCGAACUGACUUGAACUAGAACUCAGCUCGAUAAGGAUCUGCUCAAUUUGAAACUGAACUCAAGUGUGAUAAGGGUUAUUUUUUAGCUCGGGUUUAACUCGUUUAAGUUCACGAAUUGCUCAACUCAACUUGAAUUGGUUCAUUUAUAUAACUCAAUUAAUAAAUAUAUUUUUAAAAAAAAUAUUGCAUAAGGUUAUAUAUAUAUAUAUAUAUAUAUCUAUAAGUAAUUUGUUCACCAAGUGAGAAUCAUUAAAGAUAUAAUUUUGUUCAAUUUUAAGAUUUGUCUAUGAUGGAUGUGAAGCCUAGGUUAUUUGUUUAGAAGAAUUUUGAUUGCCUAAAUGUUGGGGUGUAAUCAUUUUGAGGCUGAAAUAGACAAAUGGAAAGUCAUUAUACUAUAUAAUAUGAGAUGGGCAAGUCUCAUUUUCCAUAUUUUUCAAAGUUAUCAUCGAAAAGAUUAUAAAUGUAUCGAUACUAUUGUACAUGCUUUUUUUUACUUGGACUAUUCUUGAAAAAUAGACACCAUCUCGUGUACUUCUUAUUCUUAUAUUUAAAUGUAUAAAAUAUAAUGAGAUUUUGAUUUCUUCCAUCACAUUUUUCAUAUAACAAUUCAUAUCAACAUAACUAUUUCUUAAAUUUUGUUGCAUAAAAGUAUUUCAAUUAAAAAAAUAAAAUAAAAUAAAAUAAAAUAAAAACUUUGGAUUAUAAUAUGGGAUAUUAACUAUGAUACUUCCAAAUAAGAAACUAAAAAAAGCUCAAGGGCUUAGGAUCUGAGUUGUUGUCUUUGAUUCAUUUGGAGAAUUAAAAUAAUUUAGUUAAGAAGUGUGUGAAACUCUUAUUCUUUUAAGUACGAAGUAAAUGCAAUAUCAAUGAAUGCAAUAGGUAUAAUAUAUAAUAUAUAAUUAUAUUAGUUAAAUUACAUAAGAACAUAUAGAUUGAUGAAGGGCAUUGCAUGUAAAACUUUCAAGGUAGAUUUUUUUAUUAAUAAUAGUACAUAGGUAAAACUCUAGUUUUAUUAAUAUAUCGUGGCUCACUAUGAGCUCUUACAUGAUAGUAGAUAGCAGCUUAGUAAAGAGUGAUCUAAAUGGAAAAGAUAAGACCCCUUCUUCCACGCCUUCCCUCCUUCUCCCUUUGCUGUUGCUGCUGAGGUUGAGCAUUUGCAAAGUAAGAUUGUUGUUGGUUCUUAAUUAAUCUCUCAACAUCUUCAACAGAACCAGGGAAUGUAAGCUGCUUCACUUCUUUAUCUAACUGUCUUAUCACAUUGUCUUCAGAACCUUUCAAUUUUCAAUAAUUUCCAAACAUAACAAUAUGAGUUAGUAACGCCAAAACCAAAGUCAUAAAGCAAAUAUUAUAAUUUACAAUUAGGUAUUUGUGCCAAAAGUUUAAUUUGUUGCCACAUUGGCUUCGUCCAAAGAUAUAGUUGGUGAUUUGGCGAUCAAUUUUAUAACUGUGUAUCUACCUUUUAAAUAGCAUGUUUAGAUUAAAUUAAAAUAUAUUUAAUUAUAAACUUUGAAGUUGAAUAAUGUUUAUGGUACCUGCAAGGAAAUUCCUCUGGUUUUCAUCAGCAUUGAUGCCAAAUCCAAGCAAGCGAAGAUUUGAGGAAGCGUUGAUGGAAAUUGGAUGACCUGCUGGAAUUACGAAAAUGUCACCUUCUGAUAAUUUAGCAUUGUACCUUCUCACUUCUUCCUGUUCUUGCUCAUCUUGUUGUCGUUCUUGAUCUCUUAUACCCACCAGUUCAUAAUUUCCUUCUCCUUCAUCAACCACGACUACAAAUAUGGCCUUUGAGUUAUAGUGUGGUAACAACAAACCUCCCUAACAUAAAAAAAUCAAAUCAUUAGUAAUAGUAUUGUUGUCUAAGACACAACACCAGUGAAUAAGUUCAAGGAAUUGUGUGUAUUGUUAUUUGGGGUUGGAUGUAAAUAAUGUACCUCGUUAAUUUCUAUGAAGGUGAGAGAGAUAUCCAAAUCCUGAGCUUGAGGGUUUCUGUCUGGGGUGAUCUCGUAGAAGUUGCCAAACUUGUUUGAAUAAAUGGGUUCAUCGCUUCUCAAGUUGAAGGGGCCAGAUUCAGAUGGUUUGCCUUUUCCUGAUGAUGAUUGAGCAUGUUUUCUCAAUUCUUGGAUCUGUUCCUUUGACACUCUCACUAUCACCCCCUCAUCUUGGUGGCUCUGCUCUUGUCCACGACUUUGCUCCUCAUCUUCCUGCCCGUCCUCAUUUCCUAAAAUAAUCCUUUGUAUCUCUUCAUAACGGGUCUAUAUUUGAAAUCCAAACAAACAAAUAUGUGAUCAUUAGUACAUAUACUCAAUAAAUAAUUGUGCAACCAACGCAGAUCAGAUGUCAUACAUUGAAGGUGGCCUCUAAAGUGUUCCUACUGAAGCCGUUGAAGUAAGACUGUUGGUCUUUAGUACUUGAUGGAUAGAAAUCCUAUAAAUAUACAAAUAUAGAGAGAAAGGAGGAAGAAAUUAAAAUUACAUGGUGUUAAAUAUGCAAUGGGUGCAUAGAAAAUUAGAUGAUAUAAACAUAAAAGAUAAUAUGAUUGGAGAAAGAACAUUACAUAGAAGUUGCCAGGGUUGUUGAUGGGUAUUGCGAGCUUGACUACUCUAAGGUUCUGGUUGUCAUCCGGGUUAAGGAUAUAAGAAGUUGUUCCAGCUGGGAGUCUGAGAGCAUCUCCAUGCUCAAGGUUAUAUGCUUGUCUUUUAUCAGGGUUGACUAUCGUGAUUGUGGCUCUACCUGCAAUUCCAAAAUAAUGAAUGUAACAAAUCAUUCAUUCUCAUUAAUUAAUUGGCAGAAAUGAUUACUACUAGUAGUAAGUAAGGUUUUAAAUUUAGGUUAGCGACCUCAAUUUAAAUCCUUGAUAAUAGUUACCAUUGAGUACAACGAGGAUGUAGUCAGCAUCAGAGUGUUUAGGGAGAAUGAGAGUGUUAGGUUUUGAUUGGAACUCCACAAUGCGGUAGUUUUGGAGAUUCUCAAGUCUAUUGGUUCUCUGGUCAAACCUCUCAAGCACACGGAUUUGGCCAUUCCUAUUUCUGUAAAGAGUUUGGAAUCUUUCAGAGCUGAAGUAAUAAGGGUUCCUCUGUCUGCGUGAGUCUGAGCGAGAACCUUGCUCUUGCUCUUGUUCUCUCUCUUCCCUCUGUUCCCUCCUCUCAUAACCACUUUGCCUACGUGAGCUAGAGCUAGAGCCUUGCUCUUGCUCUCUCUCUUCCCUUCUACUUUGAGGUCGUUGUCUCCUCGGUUGCCACUCUUCUUCCUCCUCUCUCCUUCCAUGUUGAGGUUGUUGUUCUUGCUCCCUCCCUCUACUAGGUUCUCUCCUUUGUUCACGCUCUUCCUCUCGGCUUUCUUCGCUCUCGCUCCUACCACGUGAUGGCUCACGAUUACGCUCCUCCUCUCUCCCAUGCUCUCUUUCUUGCUCCUCCUGAUGGCGAGGGCGUGGUUGUUGUCUUGGGUCACGCUCCUCUUGUUCUCUUUCCUGAGGCCUCUCAUGAUUCUUUAUUGCAUUUUUUUCUCCGUAAGCAAUACCGAUUGACACUGCCAUGAGGAAUACUAUUCCUAGUAGCAACACUAACGUUGGAAACUUCACUCUCAUAUUAGCCAUAUUUUAUUAUAUUAGAUUGCACUCGAUGAUGNNNNNNNNNNNNNNNNNNNNNNNNNNNNNNNNNNNNNNNNNNNNNNNNNNNNNNNNNNNNNNNNNNNNNNNNNNNNNNNNNNNNNNNNNNNNNNNNNNNNUAUAUAAUUAAAAAUAAAUUGUUGCAUAAAUAACGUACAAUACUAGUGUACGAAUAAUGAUAUUUGUUGAGCUGUUAAGGUUAUACCAAUACCUUACAUAUAAGAUUCAGUUAUAUAUGAUUGUCAAUCACGUGGUUACUAGGUGUGAAUUAAAGAUCCGAUUAAACAAGAUUUGGUCAUAUAUGAUCAUUGAUUACUAGAAUUUCUAACUUAACUGUGUGAAAGAACGAUAUUGGAAGAACUAUUUCUAAAUAUUUGUAUGAUACAAAUUAGAUAAAAUAGCAAAUAAUCUAUAUAAUGAAUGAUACACAUACUUCAGUGGGACAAAGGGGGGAGUAAACUUUACACUAACAACUCAAGGGUACAGAGAAUUUUAAUUUAGUGAUCAAGUAUUAAAUUAUAGCUGUGAUGAUAAGUUAUAUAUACUAAUUUUUUUAUAUAUUUACUUCCAACUUAUUGAAACUUGAGAAGUAUGCUUACAUUUAGAGAUGUAUAGUUAUUAGUCAUAAGUGUCAUCAAAUCGGUCAGAGUAAUAGUAUAGUGGUAUAGUGGUUCAACCGAUGGUUCAUUAAUUAAUUUUAUGUCGGUUAAAUCCGACAUACAUGCUUAUCUAUACAAUCUUUAAUAAAAAAAUUAACUAGGUAAAUACUCAAAUUUAAAAUUCAUGUUCUUAGUCUACUAAGAAUACCCAUAGAUAAACAAUUUUAACAAACAAAGUCUGGCCCAUCUUCCAUUGAUGCAAAUCAACUAAUUGAACAAAUAAAAGAACUAAGUAAGGAAGACGCACUUUACAAUAACAAUUAAAAAUCCUAACAUGUAAGGUAAGAAGAAAGAGAGAGAUGAUUUAAGGCGGGAGAUGAUAUAAACACACACCUUAAUGGGCAAUGACUUCAACUCUACAAAGAAUUGGAUGGAACGAAGAUGAUAGGUCGGUGGAAGGGACUGGACAAAGAUGAUACCUCGGGGAAGCCUGGAACUAUAAAAGAAAUGAAGAAGGGUUGAAGAAGUGUGAACAGUGGAAGGAGAAAAAUCGAAUAAGGGUAGAAGAAUUGUGAACCGUGUAGCCUAGAACUUUUUUGAAAACCCUACUUCCCUAAAACGACGCCAUUUAUGGUUAUUUUUUAAGAAUAAAAUACAUGUAUAAACCGGCUAAUUUAGUCAAAUUUCGCCUGGUUCACCAGUUUUGACCAAAUUCGGUCGGUUUUCACUGGUUUUGAUACUUGGUUAGUAUCAUAACCAUACUGUAUCGGUUAGGGGUUCGGUUCACCGGUUCUUCGAUUGACAUGGACGGUACGGUUUUUACGUUAUGGUUUGUUAAUGAGAUGGGGAAUAAGUAUUUUAACAAUCAAAAAUCAAAAUUAUAAAAGGUAAAUAAUUAAGUUUAUUUCCUAAUAUUUGGUGUAUCUUUCAAUAAUUAUAUUAAAUUCGUUUUCGUACUAACUUAAGUGAAGAAAAAAAUUAAGUAAGAGAAAACUGGUGAUUAUUUAUAAAUGUUAGGGUUGCAAUUUGUUCACCAAGUAAUAAUCAUUAAAGAUAUAAUGUUGUAUUUGUGGAUGAUGGUUGUUAAAGUCUAGGUUAUUUUAUAGAAAUUUUUUAUUGCCUAAACGUUGGGGUGUAAUCAUUUUUAGGCUGAAAUAGACAAAUGGAAUGUCAUAUUACUAUAUGAGAUGCUCAAGUUUUAUUUUCCAUGUUUUUUUUAAAAUUAUCAUAUGAAAGAUUAUAAAAAAUAUUGAUAUAUUUUUGUACGUUUUAUAUUGACAAUGCUUUUUUAUUUGGGUUAUUCUAGAUAGAAGGUGUUUGUCUAAUAUUGUAAAGCCUCAUUAGAUCCUCAAGAUGACUAAAACGUCAAUGGUUCGAUUUAUGUAAGCGACAUUUGUUGGCAGGGGCAGUCAUACACCCCAAAAGAGAUUAGUUUCUUACCCAAGGGUGAAGGGAUACCGUUUUUUGUACCCAAAAAAAUAAACAUUGUCUUGUGGACAUCUUACUCUUAUUUAUAAAUGUAUAAUAUAUAAUUACAUUUUCAGUUCUUCCAUAUCAUAAAUAUUUCAUAAAACAAUUCAUAUCAACAUAAUUAUUUCUUAAAUUCUUUUGCUUAAUAUUUUUUACCAUUGUGAUCUAGUGUUAAUCUUUUAUAAUUUUUCAAAUUUAUUUAAUAAAUGCAUAGACACAUUUUCUUAAUAUAUAUGAUAGUGAAUUAAAAAAUCAAAUAAAAUUAAAUAAAACCUUUAGAUGAUAAUAUGAGAUAUUAACUAUGAUACUUCUACACAAGAAACUGAAAAAAGCUCAAGGGCUUAUGAUCUGAGUUAUUGUCUUGGAUUCAUUUUGAGAAUUAAAAUAAUUUAGUUGAGAAUUGUGUGAAACUCUUAUUUUUUAAGUGAGAAGUAAAUGCAAUAUCAAUGAAGGAGUGCAAUAAAAUAAAAGAGAAGAAGAUAAAAUAAUUUAUUAAUAGGGUUCUGAUCAAUUUUGUAUACGUGCCUAGAAGCGUACAGUAGUUAUCAAUAUGUAUUUUUAGAGAAUAAGAAUUAUAAGUUCUAACAAAUUCAUGGGUAUAAAACUCAUAUGGUGUUUCUAAUUUGUGCAAGUUAUAAUAAGUAUCUUGAGCCUAAUAUUUAACAUUGUUUUUCUCAUUCUUCCAAUACUAGGCAAUGUUUUACUUAUUAUAAUAAUAUAUUUCAAGCAAUCUUCACCUUAGUGAAUAUUUUAUUCCUUAAUAAAUAUACGCAACAAUCACCACCUUAGUGAAUAUCCAACUCCAUAUUACGCAAUGACUAACUCUUUUUAUGAGCUCCUCCAUUGGACUUCUUCCACAUGUGAGAAUGCUCAUCUUCAACAUAAGUCGAGUAUCCUUUAUGAUAUUACCAAGAUUUAAGUUGUCCCAACUCAAAUUUUGAUGGAGAACCAAUUUCACGACUUCGGAGUAUGGGGAAAUAGAUUCCUUUUCUACAAAAUGAUUUGGAGUUGUCACUACAUUUUUUUUAUCAGAAUAUAAAUUUUUUCUUUAUACCCAAAUAGAAAACAAAUAUGAUUAUUGAACUAAAGUUCAAAGCUUGGGAGUCAAUUACAGGUCGGGAAAGGUAUUCACACCUCAUCUGAUCGUAUUAAAACAAUACCCACGCUAACUAGAUGGAUCCUUAUGCCCUCGAUUUAUUUUUUAAAAUAUUAAUUACUAAAGAAAAGUAGUAUUUUUUUUUUACCUACGAAGAGCUUAUUUGCUUUAAUGCAUCCUCAUGUUGUAAUAUGAAAAUCAAGACAACAUAGUUCAUGGCUGAAAAUUGAUCAAUGGAUUUGUAUAAAUUUUAUUAAAGAACUAAUAUAAAAUUAAAGGAGGUCAAUAGCAUAAGAGAUUGUAUUAGUUGUGAACCGACAUCUCAAUUUGAGAGGUAACAUAGAUAGUAUUGAUAACCGCAAUUGUUUCUCUACAUAUAUAAGAAAUUAAGAUACCACAUGAAUAUCAAACUCAUUAUUAGAUUCCAAAAACGGUUUAUCGAUUUUCAUAUAAAAAACUCACAACCACACAAAUUUCUUAUCAUAACAAUGGUGAUUUUAAGUUGUUUUACUAUAUACUAUAUAUUUCCAUUAACAAUAUACAAAUCCUCAUUCCAUUUUCCAUUAUAUAAUUAACAUAACUAAGUUAAUUAACAUGGUCAAGUUCCUUAUGCAUACUCAAGUCCUUGCAGCUUUCUUCGCUGUCAUUCUACUUCUAGCACAUAUUGAGAUGUGUCCUAUAUUAAGUAUUAAUAUAGAAGCAUAAAUCAAACCCAAAACCAUGAAUAGUUGGUUAUCUCAGAAUAAUUGUUUAACAUCAGCAUCAAGGUAUGACACACCGACAUGGUGGUUGUCUUUUAAAUAGGAAAAGUCUCUUGUCUCCGUCUAACAUCAGCAUCAAGCAUGCUACCAAAUUCCAAUAUAGGGAUUUAUAUUUUGAAGAAUAAUUAUUAUCAUUGAUAUAUUAUACCUUAUUUUUUAUUAUAUUUUUUAAUGUCUAGGUAAAAUGAUCGAAGUGGUUGAGAACCUGGAUACUAUCAUUCAUGAAGUAGUAAUCACUGAUGAUGAGGACUAUGUGGAGGAAAUAGAUGAGAGUGAAAGUGAGAGUGAGGAAGUGAAUGAAAGUGAAGGUUUGGAUAGUGUAAAUGACAACGAUGGAUUUAAUAACUAUGAUGAAAAACUAGAUUUUUGUGUGGGGGUUCAUUCAGAUGAUGAUUUAGUUGAAAUUUAUGUUGAGAGAAAGGUGGUUGGAGAACAAUUUAAACUCCAAUCUAAUGGUAAGGUGAAACUUCAAAUCAAUAUGUUACUAUUGUUAGAGAAACUUCAAACCAAUAUGUUCAUAAACGACUUACCGGCUUGAGAUACUAUUGUUAGAGAAACAAAUCCUGGGAGUAAAGUGACGAUGGAGUUUGCAAGGGUCACAAUUGAUAGGAACCCACAAUUUAAACGAUUAUUUGUAUGUCUUGGUGCAAGGAAAAAAAGAUUUGUUAGAGGUUGUAAGCCUUGGUUUAGAAUUGAUGGAUGCCAUUUAAAAGGUCCUUAUGGAGGAAUUUUACUUGUUACAGUUGCCCUUGAUGGAAAUAAGGGUAUAUUUUUUAUUGCAAUUGUUGUGGUAGAGGUGGAGUGUAAGGAUUCAUGGAGGUUUUUUCUAACCUUAUUAACUGAAACUUUGCACACUCUACCAAAAUGGAAGGAGGAUAAACUAACCAUUAUGUCAUAUACACAAAAGGUUAGUGUGUUUAAAUUAUAUAUCUCCCUAUAGUGAAUAGAUAAUGUCUCUCUAAUUAUUGCUAUUCUACUUAAUUUUUGUAUAAAAAGAACAUGUUGUGAGAAAUGAAGUAAUUCAGGAUAGGAUGUUAUAUGUUUUUUUUUAUAUUUUGGUUUAAGUUAGAGAUAUUAAAUGAUUCUUUAUUUGAAUUCCAGUGCUUAAAAGAUGCAGUUAGUGAGAUAUUUCCAAAUGCAGAACAUAGGUAAAUGAUUAAUUAUAAUCUUGUAUUGUUAAUAUUUUAAAAUACUUUAUUAAUCACUACUUGUUUUUGUUAAUAGGUUUUGUUGCAACCACUUGUUGAAUAACUUCAAGCUUCGAUUCAGGUCUUUAAUACUAACAACAGAGUUUUGGGCGGUUGCAAUGGCUUAAAAUGAAACCAUGUUUAAUAAAGCUAUUACUACUAUGAGAAAAAUCAACAAUGAUGAUGUAGAAUGGUUGCUAGAUUCUGAUAGGCCUAAAAUUAUGUGGGCAAGGCAUACAAUUGAUCCAAUCUGUAAAAGUGAUCAUGUGACCAACAUUGUGUGUGAAGUGUUUAAUGCAUGGAUUGUAGAUGAUAGAAAAAAGACUAUGUUGUCUAUGAUGGAGUCUAUUGUGUGUAGAUUAAUGGGAACAUUUGAAAGAAGGUUUGCAAAGAGUUGUGGUUUUGAGCACAACAUAACUCCUAACAUUCGGAAGGUUUUAAACACUAACAUGCAAGAUGGGAGGUUCUGUACAAUGACUUAGUUUACUUAGUUUGCCAUGUUUUACUUCUAUGUAUCUACUUAGUGUUUACCAUGGAGUGCUGGUUAUAUAGUUAUGGAACAUUUAAUUUCUAUAUGUGUAUGUUAAUUUUACAUGCUUAGUUAGUGUAUAUAAUGAUGCGGUAAUUAUUAAUAUUUUUUUAUUGUUCGUUUUUAUUUUAUUAUUUCAAGCAAAUGAUGAUGCAAGUAUAUCUGAUAUACCUUUGAGUGCAAGAGAAUCAUAUGGUGCCAACAACAUUUAGGAUAUUUUUUAUGUAUUUUGUUUUUAAAAUUUCAUAUGAGACUACUUUUAGUUUUUUUUUCUCCAGAUUUUAUGGUGUAUUUGGAUUUAUAAUGAAACAUGAACCGUAACUCUUUCAACUUUGUUAUGUUAUUUUAGUUAUUUGCAAUGAAAUUUUAUUAUUGCUAACAACAUUUGGAUUUAGUAUUGUAAGUUUAAAUAAUUAUUAUAAAUUAAUGAGAUUAAAGUUAUAAAAAUUAUGAAAUGAAAUUGAGGUUAAAAUCCUCUAGAAACAUAUAAUAGUUACCUUCCUGCAGGUUUCCAUAUAUAAUUUCGAGUAGUGAAGAUUGAAAAUCUCCACAAUUAAACGAUCUUAAAUAAUGAAGGUUUAAAGCCUUCAUGCUAAACACUACAAAAAUCACCUCAAAUAGUGGAGGUUAAAAAACUCCUCAAAUCGUGGAUGUUAAACUAAUGAAUGAUGAUUCAUUCCUAAAUAAAUACAUUUAAUACAAAUAUUGAUAAUAAAUGAAUAAAUAUAUUGAAAGAAUAAACUAAUAAAUACGAUGUUACUAUUAAAGACAUAUUACUAAUAUGUUAUUAUCUAGAAAACUAAUUAAUAUAUAUUACACAUAAUUUUCAUUAAUUUCUUAAAUAUAGGUAAUGGAUAGAAUAUAAAAAUAGUCAUAAUAAAUACUAAAUAGAUUUUGAUGAAAAAGAAAGGUUUGAGUUAGGUUUAUUUUAUAAAAUAAAUUAUGAAAAAAAUUUUUUUAGGAGGUUGAAUAAGUUAAAUGAUAGAAAGGUUUUUUAAUUAAAAAAAAUAAAUAAGAUACUACAUUGGUUGUUAAUUGAUGUUGCAAUGCAACUUUCAGUCAAUCAUCGGUUAUAUGACAGGUUUGGAUCCACCACUAUAUUUUUGCGGUCAAAAUAAAGAAAACAUUCUUUAAACCCACCUUUAAGGAAUAUGUUGUCUCACAUGAUAGGAUUUUGCUCCUACGUCUCCCUCUCAACAAUAGAGAAUCAAGACUACCUAGUUCUUUAGUAGAAAAUACUUUGUUGGUUGAUUUUAUAUUAUUUCUGAAUAGGAGAAGAUGUUUUAAUUUUAAUAUGGUGUCCAUACUUAAAUGACUAAAUUACAACCAUAAUGUAUGAUAUCGCAUUUCAUAUUAAGGAGGUAAAGCUUAACCAAAAUCAAUAUUUUUUAAUGUUUAAAGGUUUUUUAGAAAGGUGAUACACAAAGGAAGAGAUUAGCUGCAAAAAAAUUAAACGAUCCCAUUAGGAUUCUCUAGAACUUUUAUGUUACUCUCUCUUUUUUGGAAUAUUUUGAUGUGUUUUCCGGUUUUUUCACUUUGUCAUGAAUGCAAUACCUCUAUUUAUUGGAUGGAUUUCACAUAUGCAUAAAAUAAAAGUGAAUCACUUUCAUUAAUGCAUCGAAUCAAUUAAAACAUUUUAUUGGGUGUAAGAUUGUUUCUGAGAUAUCUAGAAAUAUCUCUUAAUAACUUUAUAAAGUCAUAGAAUAUUAUGGUGACACUCAUAUUAAUUCGGCUUUAAAAUUAAAAGUGUCCCAAAUGCUCUAUUUUGGGUAGAAAUUUCAUAACAAGUUCAAAAGGAAAUCACAAAUGUUCUUUUAUAAAAUGGGAUCUUUCCAUUAAUAGAUUAAUAAAUUCAUUAAGUCACUUAAAACCCUUUUUGAUUUUAUUUUAUAAAUAAAAUUAAAAUUGGUGAGAGAAAUUAAUUUGAAAUAAUAUCCUUGUGAAAAAAACUAAAAAUUGUAUCCAAAAAAUCUUGAAAUAGUAUCCCACCAUUAUUGAGUCAAAUAAGUGAUCUUUAAAUACCAUUUUUUAUUGUAAAGGAAAUCAAAAUGUUGGGAGGGAAGUUGACUUAGAUGUUGUAUCUAGUCAAUUUAUUCACAUUAAGUCAUUCAAACCCGUUUUUUAUAUGAGUGUAAAAUAUGAAUUUAUCCUCUUUACUUGUUGCUUACCAUAAAAGCGGGCAAAUUGAAGUUUGAAAGAUAUCAUGUCAGGUAACUAGUAAGGAAAUGAACACUAAUUUUGUCAAGGUUAAAAGAACUUACAUAUUCAAACUUCAGAUGCCUCGUAGUGAGGUUGAAACUAGUCAACGAUGCAGACUGAAAUACAGUAACCGUUAGUUUUAUGUAGUAGUUCGGGAAGCUUCUGGAAUAGAAAUCAUCAAUUUGGUGCGGCAGUUCUAGACUCUGCUGAAAGGGAAACCAUCAAUUUGGUGACAUAGUCUGAGAAUCUUCUGAAAAAUGAAACAAUCGAUUUGGUGAAGGAGUUUGAGAUUAUGUUGAAAGGGAAACCACCGAUUUGAUGAAGUAGUUUGAGAAUCUACUUAAAGGGAAACCAUCGAUUUGGUGAAGCAAUUAGAGAAUCUUCUAAAAGGGAAACCAUUGACUUGGUGAAGUUCAUCGAGAAUCUGCAGAAAUGGAAACCAUCAGUUUGGUUAAGUAGUACGAGAAUCUGCUAAAAGGGAAACAAUCGAUUUUGUGAAGCAUUUUGAGAAUAUUCUGAAAGGGUAACCAUGUAUUUGGUGAAGUAGUUUGAGAAUCUGUUGAAAAUGAACCAUCAAUUUGGUGAAGCAUUUUGAGAAUCUGUUGAAAUUAUAACUAUUGAUUUGGAGAAGCAGAUCGAUAAUCUAUUGAAAGGGAAACCAUCGAUCUAGUGAAGCAUAUCAAGAAUAUGCUAAAAGGGAAAGCAUUGAUUUUGUGAAGCAGAUCGAGAAUCUGGUGAAAGGGAAUCAUCAAUUUAGUGAACUGGUUCGAGAAUCUAGGAUAGAGAAACUAUCGAUUUGCUGAAAAAAAUUGAGAAUAUGGUGAAAGGGAAACCAACAGUUUGAUGAAGUAGUUUGAGAAUCUGCUGAAAAGGAAAUCGCUGAUUCGAAGAGUCAGAUCAGGAAUCUAUUGAAAUAAGGCUUACGGGCAUCUCAACAUCAGAGUGUGAACAUGAUGAUAAACGUACUUGAGAAAGGGAUGGCCCCACAUUGUCUAGGCCAAUUAUAUAUGUAGUUGGGAUGUGAAGAUGCAUGUAUUGAUGUUUGAUUAUUUGUGGAUAUGAAAUGACUUGAAUAUAAAUUUUCUGCUAUAUUUUGUAUGAGAUGAGUAUACAAUAAAGGGAAAGACUCGUACACAAAUAUUCUAAUGUAUCACUCUUGAUUUAUUUUUUCUUGGGAUGGAAUUCAUAAACCUUUGUGGAUUUGACUAAAGCAUCAAUUUAUGAUUGUUUUUAUUAGCAUGAUUGAAUGACAACUUGUCUUUCAUAAAAUUGCUUUAGUUUGCUUGAUGACACAUUUCCAUUAAGGUAAUUCAUACAAUGUGCCCUAGUGCCAUCUUGAAUGACUAAACUCAUAUAUAUUGCUCUAGCGUAGGUUGGCUGAGAGUUUCUUUCAAAUGUGUUUGAAUAAAAAAUUUAUCAUUGUGCCUAUUCUGAACUUUUGACUUCAACUUGGAGGCCAUUAUUCAGAUUCUCCAUAAAGAUGCCCCAUUUUGGGAAAUUAAGGAUAAGGGGUAGUAAGCCUUCACAUUGAGGUGCACAUUUAAUUUUCCUUAACUUUUAUCAAGAAUACCUAGUGUAUGAGCUUGUCGAGAAUUUUCUCAUUUAUUAUCAUCCUCAACCACCUUUUCAUUUUUUGACUUAUAAUCACUCUCCUUUUCCUAGGUUGCUCAUGUGGGUUGUCAACCUAGCACACUUUUUUUGUUUUUUGUUCUUUGAUUUUUACUUUUUACUUUAUUUAACACCGUCGACUUGGUGGCCUCAUUUGAUAGUAAGUAGAAGUCUUGUGUGGGUCAUUGUUGGAGUUGUUCUUCACAGUCAUAACAUAGUAUCAUUCACUUCUUGGUUGAUAGAUUAUCCAUUUUCUAUUAUUGGCAUGACUUAUAAGGCCAUGGGAAGCAACUCCGUACUGCCUCGUUUUUUGGCUUCUUGUAACUUUUCACUAGAAAAAUGGGAACACCCCAAAAAUAUGGCCCAACAUGGAUACAAGGAUUUAUCCUUCUAUUCAAAUUGUCCUGAAAUGAAAAAUUUGGAAGGACUUAGACAAUGAAUCAUCUCAAAAUAUGCCCUAGUUUGAAAGGUUUCCAUGUUUCUUUUACUUUAGAAGUCUUUAUUGUAUGCACAACUCUUUAAGAAUAAAUAUUAAAACAAUGAUCAUGCAAACUUGACAAGUGUUUGGAUUAUGCGUGGUGAUACGAUAAUGAUUAUAAAAUUUAAUUUUUGUUUAAGCUUUCUUAUAUGUAUUGUUCAAUUUGUAUGUGGUUGCGAGUUUUGAUAUGUUUAUGAUGAAUAUAAAACGGAACUUGUGUUUGGGCUUUGAAUUUUGUUGAUGAUGGUGAUGGUGAUGAUGAGAGAAUGGAAUGUUAAUCAUAUGCAUUAAGAUGAGAUUGUUAGAAAUUCAUAAUUUCUAAUUAAGGUGAACAUCAUAUAAUUAAUACAAUUAUAUUGGCUAUUUAUUUUGGUAUUCCAAAACAAGUGAUCUAAUUACUCACAACCUAUAAGACUUCUAAAACUGAUAAUGUAUAUGGCUUAAUGAGUGGAUACUGAAACGGUUGGCCUAUAUGUGAUAAUGUGAACCCUAUAAGUUAACGUAUAAGGAACGAUUAUGAUCUCCAAUGCACCAAAUCACAAAUAGUUUUCACCUCUCCCCAUCAGAGAGAAAAUGAAGGUCCCAAAAAAAAUUAAUGAUUUGGUUGAGGAAGCCCAUCAUACCAAAACUCUAUGAAAAUGUAUAUCAAAAAAGUAGAUUAGAGAACAUGGAUUUGGGUAUGACUUUGUAUCAUAGUUCUAUAUUAUGUGUGAGAAUCAUGAGAUUCAAGGUCCUAGGAUUGGUAUUUCACCAAUCAUUAGGAAAUAUAUGACAAGUGGUAUCAGAUCUUUAGGUUCUGAAUUUGUUAAUCAUAAAAGAUAUUAAAUCCGAAGGUUUUAAUUCCAAGAUCAUAAUUUAUUUUAUAAUGGACCUAUAUUGUUUUCCUUUUCUGUGGUAAUUAUUUUUGAAAUAAUUGGUGCAAUUGUUGUCAAAGUAACCUUUAUGGUGGAAAUUGAUAAAUAAUACAUAGAUGAGUAUGAGAUUAUUUAUGAGAAUUGUGUUUUGUCAAGUAAUAACAUACAUGUGAUGAUAAAUAAGUAACAAUUAUAAAGUUUUUUUCUUGUGAAUAAUAGUCGGUCCAAAGAAAGACUAUUGUUUGACAAAACUAAUUGUUAAUAUUUGAUCAUUACGUUUAGAGUACAACUUACAUAUUAUUUUCUCUGUCCAAAGACUAGAAAUUGAUGUUGUGCUAGGUAUCUUGUGAUGAGUCUAUUAUGUGAACAUGUCUUGUUUUAUAUGUAUUACCUGAUUUGUUUCUUUAAAUGGUUGCAACACUUACGGUUUGUUGUAUUAGUUGGUAGUUGAUUGCAUUAUUAAGGGGUUGCUAUUGUUGAAACACUAUUUCCAUUUGAACAUUGUGUCGUACUAUGUUUAGUCAUGUAUAAAAUGGUAAUAUAUUUUUAAUGGAAAAUUAAAAAGAACCAUCACUGGAAUUUGAAACGCAGAUCUUGGUGAUGGAAAUUAUGCAAUGCUACCAAUAGGCUAUAGUGUAUAUAUUAUAUAUAUGUGGAUAUAAAUAAUUCAUAUUUUGGAUUAAGUGAUGAAUCAAACUCAACUAAAUGGUUUUAAUGAAAUUGUUUGACAUUUUAAGUGAACAUAUUAAAUAAGAAUUCGCCAAAGUGACAUAUUUUCUAUGAAUUGUUCAUAAAUGUCAAAUACUAGUGUGAAUAAGUAUCUAUGCGAGUAUUAAUUGGCUCAAAUGAAGAUUAUUAUUUGGUCGAAUUAUAUACAUACAUAUGAUGGUAAACAUGUGACUAUUUUAAGGUUGAAAAUGGGACUGAUAAAUUAGUCUAGAGAAAGAUUUAUUAUUUUACAUGCAUUAUGAAUAAUGUUUGACCCUUACAAAAAUAUAUCAUUAGUGAUUGAUAUGAAAUAUCAAGCCAAAUGUAUGUUUGCAUUUUAUGUGAAUAGUGAUCGGCCCUAAGGAAUAUUAUUAUUUGGCCCAAAUUACAAACAUACUUGUAGUAUUAAUAUGUGAUAAUUAUAUGCCUUUGCAUGUGAAUAGUAAGUCAAUCCAAAGAAUAGCUUAUUGUUUGAUAUGACUGAUUAACAAUGUUUGAUUACUAUAUUGAGUGUACCACUUAUAAGUUAAUAUUUUUAUCCAAAGACUAAAUAUUAAUGUUGUGUUAGGUAACUCAUGAUGUGCCCCACCAUCAUUUGAAUUUAGGUUUUAAAGUUGAAUGUGAGUUUAAUUGCAAGAAUGGUUGCAAGAAUGAUUGCAAUUUGUUUUGUUCUUUUACUAGUGCUACAAAUAGUUUUGUUCAAAUUGAGAAUAUCUCAUUGUUGAACGGGACACACAUUAAGGUCUAUAAGAAAGCCGUGGAAAUUAUUCUCGGCUAUAUGGAUUUAGAUCUGGUACUUCAAGUGGAGAAAUCCAUUUCGACUCUGUAAAUCCUCGAUGAGGUUAAAAUUGAGAAAUUUGGAUGCUCUUAUUGUAUGUGUCUAAUGAUCAUGAAACACUAUAUUCUAGAAGUGUUUCAUAAUUCUAUUUUUGAGGGUCAGAGUGCAAGGAAGUUCCUUCAAGAAAUAGAACCAUACUUUUGCAAAAAUGAGAAGGCGGAGACUAGUAGCUUUUUUGGGUGAAAUCAUCUCCAUGAAGUAUAAAAGCAUAUGGAACAUAAGGAAGUACAUUAUGGAGAUGCCUAAUCUUGCAUCAAAACUCAAGUCACUUAAGUUAGAGCUGGUUGAUGACUUGCUCGUGCACUUGGUUUUGAUCUCGCUUCCUGCACACUUUGGGAUAUUCAAAGUGAGCUAUAACACUCAAAAGGACAAAUGGUGUCUCAAUGAGUUUAUAUAUCAUUGUGUCCAAGAGAAAGAGAGGUUCUAGAGAGAUAAGACUGAAAGUGCUCAAUUGGCUAUGACCACUCAGAAUAAGACAAGAAUGAACAAUACGGAUGUUGUGAAAGGGUUAUUUGUGUUUUUCGUCAGAGAUUGUGGAUUUGUUCCGCAAUACACUAUGCCAGACAAACCUAAAAUAAAAGGUGUUGUUGGCCGACGAAAAGAAACUCUUAAGGAUAUGGUGAGAAUUAUGCUUAGUCAUUCUUCCUCACUAGAGUCUCUUUGGAGGGAAAAAACCGUUAAUAAGACCAAGCUUAAAACAUUGCACAUUUGGGGUUGUUCAGUUGAGGAAGGCCUUAUAGGCCACAGGAAAGGAAACUCGACUCAAGAACAGUUAGAUGUUAUUUUGUUGGCAAUGUUGAGCGCUCUCGGGGCUAUAAAUUUUACGAUCCUACUUCAAGACAUUUUUUUUUUGGACGGGAAAUGCAAGAUUUCUUGAGGAAGUUGAUUUUGGGAAGGAAGAGAACAUAAGGAAUUUUAUCUUUGAGGAAGAACAUGUCACUAGUAGUGAACAAAUUCUUGUGUCUAUUACCAUUCAAGGAACAACUUCGGUAAUAGAAGAUAAUGUUUAGGAUAUUGUUCCUGACAAUAUUCUAGAACAAGACAACAAUGAGGUUCUCUCUCAAGUACUUAAAGAAAAAAUUCAACAACCUCAAGAAGUAGGGGUGCCAUUAAGCAUAUCCACUAGAGAGAGAGGAUGUGCAAUUCCUGAUGAUUAUAUUGUAUUUCUUCAAGAAUAUGAGGAUGACAUCAGGAUAACAUAAGAUGAUUCAUUGAAAAAAUGUCAAGACAUGAAAAGUUCUAACUCUCAAAAGUGGAUCAAUGUCAUGAAGAAUGAGAUGAAGUCUAUGCAUGAUAAUAACGUUUGGGAUAUUGUCGAAUUAACUGAAGUUGCGAAACCUAUUGAUAGGACAAAUUGCAAGUGGACGGUUAUAUCGUCAAGUAAUAAAAUAUCGAUCCCACGAGGACUAGAAAAUACUUUAAUUAUAACAAUUAAUUUAUAUGUAACUCAAAGCAAAAUUAUAAGUGAAUUUAGAAAAAUUGAACAUUUGACAAGAAUAAUUAUGAAAAUAUUAAAAAGGAUUGAAAUCUAAUUUAGGAAGAGUUCCAAGGAUAAGGGUUUACCCCUUUACACUCNNNNNNNNNNNNNNNNNNNNNNNNNNNNNNNNNNNNNNNNNNNNNNNNNNNNNNNNNNNNNNNNNNNNNNNNNNNNNNNNNNNNNNNNNNNNNNNNNNNNUAAAUUACAUAACAACAUAUAGAUUGAUGAAGGGCAUUGCAUGUAAAACUUUCAAGGUAGAUUUUUUUAUUAAUAAUAGUACAUAGGUAAAACUCUAGUUUUAUUAAUAUAUCGUGGCUCACUAUGAGCUCUUACAUGAUAGUAGAUAGCAGCUUAGUAAAGAGUGAUCUAAAUGGAAAAGAUAAGACCCCUUCUUCCACGCCUUCCCUCCUUCUCCCUUUGCUGUUGCUGCUGAGGUUGAGCAUUUGCAAAGUAAGAUUGUUGUUGGUUCUUAAUUAAUCUCUCAACAUCUUCAACAGAACCAGGGAAUGUAAGCUGCUUCACUUCUUUAUCUAACUGUCUUAUCACAUUGUCUUCAGAACCUUUCAAUUUUCAAUAAUUUNNNCAAUAAUUUCCAAACAUAACAAUAUGAGUUAGUAACGCCAAAACCAAAGUCAUAAAGCAAAUAUUAUAAUUUACAAUUAGGUAUUUGUGCCAAAAGUUUAAUUUGUUGCCACAUUGGCUUCGUCCAAAGAUAUAGUUGGUGAUUUGGCGAUCAAUUUUAUAACUGUGUAUCUACCUUUUAAAUAGCAUGUUUAGAUUAAAUUAAAAUAUAUUUAAUUAUAAACUUUGAAGUUGAAUAAUGUUUAUGGUACCUGCAAGGAAAUUCCUCUGGUUUUCAUCAGCAUUGAUGCCAUAUCCAAGCAAGCGAAGANNNNNNNNNNNNNNNNNNNNNNNNNNNNNNNNNNNNNNNNNNNNNNNNNNNNNNNNNNNNNNNNNNNNNNNNNNNNNNNNNNNNNNNNNNNNNNNNNNNNAAGCGUUGAUGGAAAUUGGAUGACCUGCUGGAAUUACGAAAAUGUCACCUUCUGAUAAUUUAGCAUUGUACCUUCUCACUUCUUCCUGUUCUUGCUCAUCUUGUUGUCGUUCUUGAUCUCUUAUACCCACCAGUUCAUAAUUUCCUUCUCCUUCAUCAACCACGACUACAAAUAUGGCCUUUGAGUUAUAGUGUGGUAACAACAAACCUCCCUAACAUAAAAAAAUCAAAUCAUUAGUAAUAGUAUUGUUGUCUAAGACACAACACCAGUGAAUAAGUUCAAGGAAUUGUGUGUAUUGUUAUUUGGGGUUGGAUGUAAAUAAUGUACCUCGUUAAUUUCUAUGAAGGUGAGAGAGAUAUCCAAAUCCUGAGCUUGAGGGUUUCUGUCUGGGGUGAUCUCGUAGAAGUUGCCAAACUUGUUUGAAUAAAUGGGUUCAUCGCUUCUCAAGUUGAAGGGGCCAGAUUCAGAUGGUUUGCCUUUUCCUGAUGAUGAUUGAGCAUGUUUUCUCAAUUCUUGGAUCUGUUCCUUUGACACUCUCACUAUCACCCCCUCAUCUUGGUGGCUCUGCUCUUGUCCACGACUUUGCUCCUCAUCUUCCUGCCCGUCCUCAUUUCCUAAAAUAAUCCUUUGUAUCUCUUCAUAACGGGUCUAUAUUUGAAAUCCAAACAAACAAAUAUGUGAUCAUUAGUACAUAUACUCAAUAAAUAAUUGUGCAACCAACGCAGAUCAGAUGUCAUACAUUGAAGGUGGCCUCUAAAGUGUUCCUACUGAAGCCGUUGAAGUAAGACUGUUGGUCUUUAGUACUUGAUGGAUAGAAAUCCUAUAAAUAUACAAAUAUAGAGAGAAAGGAGGAAGAAAUUAAAAUUACAUGGUGUUAAAUAUGCAAUGGGUGCAUAGAAAAUUAGAUGAUAUAAACAUAAAAGAUAAUAUGAUUGNNNNNNNNNNNNNNNNNNNNNNNNNNNNNNNNNNNNNNNNNNNNNNNNNNNNNNNNNNNNNNNNNNNNNNNNNNNNNNNNNNNNNNNNNNNNNNNNNNNNCUUGUUCUCUUUCCUGAGGCCUCUCAUGAUUCUUUAUUGCAUUUUUUUCUCCGUAAGCAAUACCGAUUGACACUGCCAUGAGGAAUACUAUUCCUAGUAGCAACACUAACGUUGGAAACUUCACUCUCAUAUUAGCCAUAUUUUAUUAUAUUAGAUUGCACUCGAUGAUGAAAAUGGGGACUAAGAUCACUCAUAUUUAUAGAUCAUUUUCAUAAGAAAUGGUGCCAUGCAUGUUGACGAGUGUUCAUAUUGACAAAUUUGAGGUGUCAUGUGCAUGCCAUUUAUCAACACAGCUCUUUAUGGAUAUACAUGGACGCGGCAAUCAUGCAUAUAUGCUUCUUGCUUCCUCAUACAUGAAUCAUUGUUUUUUUCUUCAAUUUCAUGAACUGGGACUUUAUUUUGGAAACGAUACAUGGUACUCUCUCUCUCAUUUCAUAUUUGUCUUUUCUUGGCUCGCCGUGUUUAUGGUUUGUUCGCUAUAGAAUUAUUACGGUAGAAAAAUAUUAGAAUGAAUAGAGUUUAAAAACAAUAAAAUACAUAUAUCAGUUCAAAUUUAAAAACAAAUAGCAGGGUGAGGGAAAAAUUCAAUAUAAUCAAGUACAUAUGUUUUCGAAAAACGGGAUUUCUUUUAAAAAAUGUGAUAUAUAUAAUCCAACUCUUAACUCUAUGGCCACGUUUAUAUAAUGUUUGGUUAUCAUCUAAAGCCAUGCAAUAAUAAUAAUAAAUAUCUGUUAAUAGAUUUCAAUAAAGCAACAUGAAAGAUAAAAUAAAUGAAAGACAAAAAAACAUAAAUAUAUAUUGCACAUUAAAUGUCAUCUUCAAAAUUAGGGGUACAAAAGUUCGGUUCGAUUUUAUUUUUGGUACAAUUCAAUGAUCAAACAUAACAAUAUGGUUUGGUUCACUUCAAUUAACUAAUAAUAUUUAUGUAAGAACCGAAUCAAAUUGGUAUUGAAUGGUUUGGUUCGGUUAUGUGGUUUUCGUCUUCUAUUUUUUAAAAAAAAUCUCAUCAAUGGAAGUUCAAAAUGUAUUUCAUGAUUCAUUUGUUGUCCAUAGAUAGAAAAACAUUACUACAAUUAUUAUUAUUCUUAUGAAAUAUAAAUCAUAUAUAUAUAGAUAAGUAAACAAAUUGAAACUAAUAACAUAUAUAAAAAAUAUGUAAUUUAGGAAGAAGAAAAUACAUGACGACAUAUAUAAUAUUACAAUUCACAACCAAUAACAUAUAUAAGAGUUCAAUUCACAAUUAAUAACAUAUAUAACAACUUAGUAACAUAUAUAGCCAUACAAUUCACAAUUAACAACAUAUAUAAGUAGGUUCCAAAUAAUCAAGACACUAGGAAAGUCACAAACAUAUAUAUAUAUAUAUAUAUAACAAUUUAGUUGUGUAGUAACAUAUAACAAUUUACUAACAUAUAUAACACUACAAUUCACACAGAAUUGAUAAUUUAAGCCCCAAAGUUGGUUAAAGAAUUCAAACAUUACAACGAUAUUCUCUAUUAUUAAUUUCUUUAAUAUGUGGUUUGAUUGAGUUCGAAUUGUUCCAAAAUUUUCUAAAUUAUGAACUGAACUUAAAUUGUUCUUUAACAAAAAAGCCAAAUUGAAUAAGGAAACCACAGUGUUUUGUAAGUUGGUUCGGUUCGGACACAUUAAUUUCACAGUUUAACCCUAUUCCAAAUUAAUUUAUUGUCAAAUUAUACAAUCCUUAUAACUUGGAAGGGAAAAGUUAAUCACAUAGAAAAGUAAGGCUGAAGACCUCUUUGAGGUUAUUAAAUCAUAGUGUAUAUGUAGAACGGAAUUUGGGAAAAGAAGAAAAACGAAAUCAUAAUAAAGGAUUUUCAAAAUGGAAAGUGUGGGCAUGAUAAUUUCGCAAGAUAAUAUUAUUUUGAAUACUAUUUUGUAACAAUUUUUAAUUAUACUUUGAAUUUUUUAAUAGAUUUACAUUUUUUUGCCUAUAUAAUUAAAAAUAAAUUGUUGAAUAAAUAACGUACAAUACUAGUGUACGAAUAAUGAUAUUUGUUGAGCUGUUAAGGUUAUACCAAUACCUUACAUAUAAGAUUCAGUUAUAUAUGAUUGUCAAUCACCUGGUUAUAAAGAUUUGAUUAAACAAGAUUUGGUCAUAUAUGAUCAUCGAUUACCUGAAAUUAUAUCUUAACUGUGUGAAAGACCAAAAUUGAAAGAACUAUUUCUAAAUAUUUGUAUGAUACAAAUCAGAUAAAAUAGCUAAUCUAUAUAAUGAUAAACAUACUUAAGUGGGAUAAAGAGAGGAGUGAGCUUUACACUAACAUCUUAAAGGUACAUAGAAUUUUAAUUUAGUGACCAGGUAUUAAAUUAUAUUUGUGAUGAUAAGUUAUAGAUACUAAUUUUUUAAUACAUUUACUUCAAACUUAUUAAAACUUGAGAUGUAUGCUUACAUUUAGAGAUGUAUAGUUAUUAAUGGUAAUUGUCAUCAAAUCGGUCAAAGUACUAUAGUAUACUGGUAUAAGGGUUCAACCGGUGGUUCGGUAAUUAAUCGUAUGUCGGUUAAACCGGACAUACAUGCUUAUCUAUAUAACCUUUAAUAAAAAAAUAUUAACUAGAUAGAUACUCAAUUUAAAAUUCAUGUUCUUAGUCUACUAAAAUUACCCAUAGAUAAACAAUUUUAACAAAUCCAAAGUUUGGCCCAUCUUCCAUUGAUGCAAAUAGAAGCCUAUAAGGGGCUAAACUAGCAAAUCAACUAAUUGAACAAAUUGAAGAACCAAGUAAGGAAAAAGUACUUUACAACAACAAUUAAAAAUCCUAACAUGUAAGGUAAGAAGAAAACGAGAGAUGAUAUAAGGUGAGAGAUGAAAUAAACACACACCUUAGUGGGCAAUUGCAUCAACUCUACAAGGAAUUGGAUGGAACGAAGAUGAUACUUCGGUGGAAGGGACUAGACGAAGAUUAUACAUCGGGGAAGCCUGGAACUGUAGAAGAAGUGAAGAAGGGUUGAAGAAGUGUGAACAGUGGAAGGAUAAGAAUCGAAUAAGGGUAGAAGAAUUGCGAACCGUGUAGCCUAGAACUCUUUUGAAAACCAUGCUACCCUAAAACAACAUCGUUUAUGGGUGUUUUUUUUAGAAAAAAGUAUAUGUGUAAACCGGUUAAUUUAGUCAAAUUUUGACCGGUUCACCAGUUUUGACCAAAUUUUGCAUAAUAGGUUUUCAUGGUCAUUUCAACACCUUCUUGAUAGUGUUGAUCUCAUACUUAAAACAACAUUUAAAAUCAACAUUUCUUAAGUUACACUUACCACUUUAAAGUAAGCUUACCUUAUCAAUGUUCACCCUAUAACAAAUCAACCAUCCUUUACCUCAUACCACUUUAAGUUUAUAAAGUCAAGACUUUUAUAAGUCAUCUUUUAUUCCAAAUCAUUACUUGAACUUGGAAGUCAAAGAAUAUCAUUUACUAACCAACUUUUAAACUCAUAAUAUUCUAAAACAACACUUUUUCACAAAACUCAUCCAUAAACAUUUUGGAUUUUAAAGUUAGAAACUAAACUUUUCCUAAACACAUAUAGACCAUGAUUUAGACCUAAUGCUAAGGAAAUUUUUGAUUCUUCAACUUAUCAUUAAACACUUUAAAGAUUCCUUUGAUAACAAAAUCAUCCCCUUUGAAACAAAAUCAAACUUCAACAUUAAAAAUAUACUAUUCUAAACUUGUCCAAGGCUAUGGUUUUUUAAGCCAAAAACAAGUGGAAAAGUCCAAACUUUGCAUGGUUAGGAAAACUCCUUAAAGCUUCCUUUGAUAUACAACCAUCACCUUUAACCAUGUUCAAAUACCAACAAACAUAUAAACUUUCUAAAUAUUAAAAACAGCCCCAUGAACACAAAAAGUUCAUGGUUUCAAAAUAACUUUCUAAGUUCAAGAAAAUAUCUAUUUGGAGUUUUAAACAUAAACAUAAAAAGAGUUAGGAAGAUUAUUAGAAUAUUUCAACGGUUGAAAAUAUUCAUAACAUACAUAUAAAUAUCAUACUAAAAUUUCAUAAAUAUCUAAUGGUUAGAUCAUAAGAGAUGAAGAAAUCAAAAAGAAAAACCAUGAAGAACUAACUUGAGAGUUCUUAGAGAAUGCAAAGUGAAGAAAGAGUUUGAAAUGCCAAGGUAUUCUCUUAGCUAGGGUUUCGAUCAUUAAAGAGAGAAAUCAUAUUUGGGGGGAAAAAGUCAAUGGUUUUUCAAAAAGUAGUUUGUGUAAGAGAUAUGUGAGUGAUUUUAGGAUUUUGUGUAAGAGAAUAUGUACUUUUGCUUGUUUAACAAACAAGACUCUUACAUGAAAGUGGUGUGAAUUUUCGAUGAAACAUUCUCGAUUAAACAUGCUCGAGUAUUAUCGGCUAAUACUCAGCCGGAUAUUAAAAUUUCUCGAUUUCGGUUUACGGUUAGAACUUCGAAACACAUAAUUUGGAGUGAAAAAUAUUCAGAAAUGUGUUCUUGACGAAAUUCAUGUCUAUCUUGACUUGAAAUAAUAUUUCGAAGCAAAGGGCACAAUUGAAAUUCAGUUCCGAGUUACGAAACUCAAAAACACGUUAUUGAGCCGAAUAUGGGUGAAUUUGAGCCCGACAGAAGCUCAAAAACCUUUCGUCGUAGAAAAAUACGAAAAUAUACCACAAAAUAGAAAAUCAUAAAAAAGGACUAAUACUCAAUUAUGGUUUAACAAAAAUGCAUACCGAUUAAUUUCUAAAACUAAUCAUUGAUAAAAUAAAUAAUUAAUAAAACAUACACACAAAAUUCACGGUGUUACAAGGGUUGCAAUUUGUUCACCAAGUAAUAAUCAUUAAAGAUAUAAUUUUUUAUUUGUGGAUGAUGGUUGUGAAAAUCUUGGUUAUUUUUUAGAAGAAUUUUUAUUGCCUAAAAGUUGGGGUGUAAUCAUUUUGAGGCUGAAAUAGACAAAUGGAAAGUCAUAUUACUAUAUGAGAUGAGCAAGUUUUAUUUUCCAUGUUUUGUUUAAAUUAUCAUAUGAAAGAUUAUAAAAAAUGUUGAUACCUUUUGUACAUUUUAUAUUGACAAUGCUUUUUUAUUUGGGCUAUUCUAGAUACAAGGUGUUGGUCUAAUAUUGUAAAGCCCCAUUAGAUCCUCAAGAUGACCAAAUAGUUAAUGGUUCAAUUUUAGUAUGCGAUAUUUAUUGGUAGGGCAGUCAUGCAUCCCAAAAGAGAUUAGUUCAUUACCCAAAGGUGAAGGGAUACCGUUUUUAGUAUCCAAAAAAAUAAACAUUGUCUUCAGAACAUCUUACUCUGAUUUAUAAAUGUAUAAUAUAUAAUUACCUUUUCACUUCUUCCAUAUCAUAAAUAUUUCAUAAAAUAAUUCAUAUCAGCAUAAUUAUUUCUUAAAUUCUUUUGCUUAAUAUUUUUUACCAUUGUGAUCUAGUGUUAAUCUUUUAUAAUUUUUCAAAUUUAUUUAAUAAAUGCAUAAACACAUUUGCUCAAUAUAUAUGAUAAUGAAUUAAAAAAUAAAAUAAAAUUAAAUAAGACCUUUAGAUGAUAAUAUGGGAUAUUAACUAUGAUACUUCUAAACAAGAAACUAAAAAAAAUCUCAAUGGCUUAUGACCUGAGUUGUUGUCUUAUAUUCAUUUUGAGAAUUAAAAUAAUUUAGUUGAGAAGUGUGUGAAACUCUUAUUUUUUUUAAGUGAGAAGUAAAUGCAAUAUCAAUGAAGGAGUGCAAUAAAAUAAAAGAGAAGAAGAUAAAAUAAUUUAUUAAUAGGGUUCUGAUCAAUUUUGUAUACGUACUUGGAAGCGUAGAGUAGUUAUCAAUAUAUAUUUUUAGCGAAUAAGAAUUACAAGUUCUAACAAACUCAUGGGCAAAAGACUCAUAUGGUGUUUCUAAUUUGUGCUAGUUAUAAUAAGGAUCUUGAGCCUAAUAUUUAACAUUUUUUCUCUCAUCCAUCCAAUACUAGCCAAUGUUUUACUUAUUACAAUAAUAUAUUUCAAGCAUCCCCAACAAUAUCAACCUUGAUUGAAAUAGACUAAUAAUUUGGUCUUUAGGAAAUUUAUAUAGCAAUCUUCACCUUAGCGAAUAUUUUAUUCCUUAAUAAAUAUACGCAACAAUCACCACCUUAGUGAAUAUCCAACUCCAUAUUACCCAAUGCCUAACUCUUUUUAUGAGCUUCUCCAUUGGACUUCUUCCACAUGUGAGAAUCCUCAUCUUCAGCAUUAGUUGAGUAUUCUUUAUGAUGUUAUCAAGAUUUAAGUUUUCCUAACUCAAAUUUUGAUGGACAACCAAUUUCACGACUUACGAAUACGGGGAAAAUAGAUUCCUUUUUUCCAAAAUGAUUUAUAAAAUAUUAAUUACUAAAGAAAAAUAGUAUAUAUUUUUUUUAUCUAAGAAGAGCUUAUUUGCUUUAAUGCAUCCUCAUGUUGUAAUAUGAAAAUCAAGAUUAUAUAGUUCAUUACUAAAAAUUGAUCAAUGGAUUUGUAUAAUUUUUUUAAAGAACUAAUUUAAAAUUAAAGGAGAUGAAUAGCAUAAUAGAUUAUCUUAGUUGUGAACCGACAUCUCAAUUUGAGAGAUAACAUAGAUAAUAUUGAUGAUCGUAACUAUUUCUCUACAUAAAUUAGAAAUUAAGAUACCACAUGAAUACCAAACUCAUUAUUAGAUUCCCAAAAUGGUUUAUUGAGUUUUUUUAAAUUUUUUUAAAUAAAUUUUUUUAAUUAAAAAGAGAAGUAACAACAUAAGAGACUACAUUGCUUGGUAAUUGAUGUUGCAUCCCAAUUUUCGGUCAAUAACGGUUAUAUGACAGGUUUGGAGCUACCACUAUGUUUUCACGGUCAAAAUAAAAAAACUUUCUUUAAACCCACCUUUAAGGAUUAUAUUGGUCUUUGAAUUCGAAAUAUGGACUCGAGACUCAGUUACGGAAUUAGAAGAUUAUUGCAUCGACUAAUUUUAUACCCAAAUUUGUUUGAUUAUUUUAUUUAUUAAAAGGGAAACUAUUUUUAUUUUUUUGUUUUGUCUCAAAUGAUAGGAUUUUGCUCCUACAUCUCCCUCUGAGCAAUAAAGAAUCAAGACUUCUUAGUUCUUUAGUAGAAAAAAGUUUGUUGGUUGAAUUUAUAUUAUUUCUAAAUAGGAGAAGAUGUUUUAAUUUUAAUAUGGUGUCCAUACUUAAAUGAGUGAAUUAUAACCAUAAUGUAUGAUAUCACAUUUCAUAUUAAGCAGGUGAAGCUUAAUCAAAAUCACAAUUUUUUAAUGUUUAAAGGUUUUUAGAAAGGUGAUACACAAAGGAAGAGAUUAGCUACAAAAAAAUUAAACGAUCCCAUUAGGAUUCUCUAGUGUUUCUCUUUAGAACUUUUAUGUUACUCUCUCUUUUUUGGUAUUUUUGACGUGUUUUCCGGUUUUUUCACGUUAUCAUGUACACAAUACGAUGGAUUUGACACAAGCAGAAAACAAAAGGGAAUCGCUUUCAUUAAUGCAUCCAAUCGAUUAAAACAUUUUAUUUUUCUAGAAUCAAAUCUAUAAUUCAUUGACUAAUUUUACUUAAAAUUUAAUAUUGGCUGUAAGAAUGUUUCUGGGUUAUCUAGAAAUUUUUCUUAAUAAUUUUAUAAACUCAUAGAAUAUUAUCGUGACACUCAUAUUAAUUCGACUUUAAAAUUAACAGUCUAAAAUGUUCUAUUUUGGGUAGAAAUUUCAUAGCAACUUCAAAAGGAAAUCACACAUGUUCUUUUAUAAAAUGGGGUCUCUCCAUUAAUAGGUUAAUAAAUUCAUUAAGUCACUUAAAACCCUUUUUUAUUUUAAAAAUAAAAUUAAAAUUGUAGGGAGAAAUUAAAUUGAAAUAACAUCCUUGUACCAAAAAAAUUAAAAAUUGUAUCCAAAAAAACUUGAAAUAGUAUCCUACCAUUAUUGAGUCAAAUAAGUGAUCUUUAAAUACCAUUAUUUUAUUGUAAAUGAAAUCAAAAGUUGGGAGGGAAAUUGACUUAGAUGUUGUAUCUAAUCAAUAUAUGCACAUUAAGUCAUUUAAACUCUUUUUUUUAUAUGAGUGAAAAAUAUGAAUUUAUUUUCUUCGUCAAAUUAUUUUUUCAAAAAUAACAUAUUUUAUUUACUAUUAUUAUUUUUAGGAAUCAAAUAUAAUUAAAAUCAUAUAUCACAUUGAUUUGUUUUUAUUAUGUAUUUUCGCUUGUGAUCAUAUUAUUAAAAUCAUUUUAAAAAAAAAACAUUUUUGUUAUCAUAUAUACCUCUUUUUACUUGUUCCUUACCACAAUAGUGAGCAAAUUGAAGUUUGAAGGAUAUCAUGUCAGGUAACUAGUAAGGAAAUGAACACUAAUUUUGUCAAGGUUGAAAGAACUUACAUAUUCAAACUUUAGAUGCCUCAUAGUGAGGUUGAAACUAGUCAACGAUGCAGGCUGAAAUACGGUAACCAUUAGUUUUAUGUAGUAGUUAGAGAAUCUUCUACAAUGGAAACCAUCAAUUUGUUGUGGCAGUUCUAGAAUCUGCUAAAAGGGAAACCAUCAAUUUGGUGACAUAGUCUGAGAAUCUUCUGAAAAAUGAAACAAUCGAUUUGGUGAAGGAGUUCAAGACUAUGCUGAAAGGGAAAUCAACAAUUUGAUAAAGUAAUUUGAGAAUCUACUUAAAGGGAAACCAUCAAUUUGGUGAAGCAAUUAGAGAAUCUUCUAAAAGGGAAACCAUUGAUUAGGUAAAGUACAUCGAGAAUCUGCUGAAAUGGAAACCAUCAGUUUGGUUAAGUAGUACAAGAAUAUGCUAAAAGGGAAACAAUCGAUUUCGUGAAGCAUUUGGUGAAUAUUCUGAAAGGGUAAAAAUCUGUUUAGUGAAGAAGUUUGAGAAUCUGUUGAAAAUAAAACAUCAAUUUGGUGAAGCAUUUUGAUAAUCUAUUGAAAUUAUAACCAUUGAUGUGGUGAAGCAGAUCGAUAAUCUACUGAAAGGGAAACCAUCGAUCUAGUGAAGCAUAUCGAGAAUCUGCUAAAAGGGAAACCAUCGGUCUAGUGGUUGAAAGUUUUUUUAAAGUGUUUGAACCCUAAAUUUAUCAUUGUGCUUAUGUUGAACUUUCGACUUCAAUUUGGAGGCCAUUAUUCAGAUUCUCCAUAAAGCUGCCCCAUUUUGGGAAAUAAAGGAUAAGGGGUAGUAAGCCUUCACAUUGAGGUGCUCAUUUAAUUUUCCUUAACCUAGUGUAUGUGCUUGUCGAGAAUUUUCUUAUUUUAUUAUCAUCCUCAAUCACAUUUUCAUAUUUUUGACUUAUAAUCACUUUCCUUUUCCUACAUUGCUCAUAUGGGUUGUCAACCUAGCACACGUUUUUUGUUUUUUGUUCUUUGAUUUUUAAUUUUUACUUAUUUUUAACACCGUCGACUUGGUGGACUCGUUUGAUAGUAAGUAGAAGUCUUAUGUGGGUAAUUUUUGGAGUUCUUCUUGACAGUCAUAACAUAAUAUCAUUCCCUGCUUGGUUAAGAGAUUAUCCUACUUAGUCUUCUUGUAACUUUUCACUAGAAAAAUGGUAACAACCAAAAACAAUGGCCCAAUAUGGAUACAAGGAUUUAUCCUUCUAUUCAAAUCGUCCUAAAAUGCUAAAUUUGGAAGGACUUAGACAAUGAAUCAUCUUAAAAUAUGCCCUAGUUUGAAAGGUUUCCAUGUUUCUUUUACUAUAGAGGUGUUUAUUGUAUGUACAACUCUUUAAGAAGAAAUAUUAAAACAAUGAUCAUGCAAAUUUGACAAGUGUUUAGAUUAGGAGUGGUGAUAUUAUAAAGAUUACAAAAUUUAAUUUGUGUUUAAGUGAUAAGUGGCAAACAUACCUAAAUUUCAUACACUUUUAUGGCACUUAUCUUAAGCAUAAUUAAGAAAAACCAACUUAAAACAAUACUUUUUGUAUAAAAUAUAACAAUCUUGUAUAUUUGUUUUUGUAUUUAUUUUUUAUGUAUUUUGUAGGAUUUAGAAAGAAGAAGAAAAGGAAAAAAGAUUCAUGGUCAAAGAGAAAAAUAAGUCAAAAUCAAGGUGCUCAAGGAGGCAGUUGAGCGUGGACCAAGCCACGCUAAGCUGACCUGGACACCAGCCUGACCUAGACCAAGCUGCUCAAGCAAGCAGCUGAGCGGACCUUCUUGGCCGCUCAGCCUAGCACCAGACUAAUCCUGACACGGUUAUAACUCAAGCUUGGCACAGUCAGACACGAGCCUGGCAUAAGCCCAAGUUGCUCAACAAGCAGCUCAGCGGUGCAACCAAGCAGCUCAGCGGUGAACCAGACUCCUUCCUAAUUCAACAAGCACCAGGCCACGUCCCAAUAAGCACAGUCAAAGCUGCUAAACAAGUAGCUUAGAAGAUUUAAGGAAUAUGUUGGUCUUUGAAUUUGAAUCUGGACUCGAGAGUCGGUUAUGAAAUUAGAAAAAUUAUUGCAUCGACUAAUUUUAUACCAAAAUUUGUUUGAUUAUUUUAUUUAUUGAAAGGGAAAAUAUUUUUAUUUUUUUGUUGUGUCUCACAUGAUAGGAUUUUGCUCCUACGUCUCCCUCUAAGCAAUAGAGAAUCAAGACUACCUAGUUCUUUAAUAGAAAAUAGUUUGUUGGUUGAAUUUAUAUUAUUUCUGAAUAGGAGAAGAUGUUUUAAUUUUAAGAUGGUGUCCAUACUUAAAUGAGUGAAUUUCAACCAUAAUGUAUGAUAUGGCAUAUCAUAUUAAGGAGGUAAAGCUUAAUCAAAAUCCCAUUCUUUUUAAUGUUUAAAGCUUUUUUAGAAAGGUGAUACACAAAAUAAGAGAUUAGCUGCAAAAAAGUUAAACAAUCCCAUUAGGAUUCUCUAGUGUUUCUCUCUAGAACUUGUAUGUUACUCUCUCUUUUUUGGUAUGUUUUGACGUGUUUUCCGGUUUUUCACAUUGUCAAGUACACAAUACCUCUAUUUAUUGGAUGGAUUUGACACAAGUGGAAAACAAAGGGGAAUCACUUUCAUUAAUGCAUUCAGUCAUGCAUUCAGUCAAUUAAAAUAUUUUAUUUUUCUAGAAUCAAAUCUAUAAUUGAUUGACUAAUUUUAUUUAAAAUUUAAUAUUGGGUGUAAGAUUGUUUCUAGGAUAUCUAGAAAUAUUUCUUAAUAAUUUUAUAAACUCAAAGAAUAUUAUUGUGACACUCAUAUUAAUUCGACUUUAAAAUUAAAAGUGUCCAAAAUGUUCUAUUUUGGGUAGAAAUUUCAUAGCAACUUCAAAAGGAAACCACACAUGUUCUUUUAUAAAAUGGGAUCUCUCCAUUAAUAGGUUAAUAAAUUCAUUAAGUCACUUAAAACCCUUUUUUUAUUUUAAAAAGAAAAUUAAAAUUGGUGGGAGAAAUUAAUUUGAAAUAAUAUCCUUGUACCAAAAAAAUUAAAAAUUGUAUCCAAAAAAUCUUGAAUGAGUAUCCUACCAUUGUUGAGUAAAAUAAGUGAUAUUUAAAUACCAUUUUUUUAUUGUAAAGGAAAUCAAAAGUUGGGAGGGAAGUUGACUUAGAUGUUGUAUCUUGUCAAUAUAUGAACAUUAAGUCAUUUAAACCCUUUUUUUUAUAUGAGUGCAAAAUAUGAAUUUAUUUUCUUCAUCAAAUUGUUUUUUCAAAAAUAACAUAUUUUAUUUACUAUUAUUAUUUUUUGGAAUUAAAUAUAAUUAAAAUCAUAUAUCACAUUGAUUUGUUUUUAUUAUGUAUUUUUCACUUUUUAUCAUAUUAUUAAAAUCAUUUUUAAAAAAAAAACAUUUUUGUUGGGAAUUUUGGAUCGGACAAAAUGGAUUGUUCACAUAUACCCCUUUUUACUUGUUGCUUACCACAAUAUCGAGCAAAUUUUAGUUUGAAAGAUAUAAUGUCAGGUAACUAGUAAGGAAAUAAACACUAAUUUUGUCAAGGUUAAAAGAACUUACAUAUUCAAACUUUAGAUGCCUCGUAGUGAGGUUGAAACUAGUCAACAAUGCAGGCUGAAAUACGCUAACCCUUGGUUUUAUGUAGUAGUUCGGGAAUCUUAUGGAAAGGAAACCAUCAAUUUGUUGCGGCAGUUCUAGAAUCUUCUGAAAGGGAAACCAUCAAUUUGGUGACAUAGUCCGAGAAUCUUCUGAAAAUGAAACAAUCGAUUUGGUGAAGGAGUUCGAGACAAUGCUAAAAAGGGAACCACCGAUUUGGUGAAGUAGUUUGAGAAUCUGUUGAAAAUGAACCAUCAAUUUGGUGAAGUAUUUUGAGAAUCUGUUCAAAUUAUAACCAUUGAUUUGGUGAAGCAGAUCGAUAAUCUACUGAAAGGGAAACCAUCGAUCUGGUGAAGCAUAUCGAGAUUUUGCUAAAAGGGAAACCAUUGAUUUUGUGAAGUAGAUCGUGAAUCUGGUGAAAGGGAAACCAUCGAUUUGGUGAAGCAGAUCGAGAAUCUGGUGAAAGGGAAACCAUUGAUUUGGUGAAUUAGUUAUAGAAUCUAUAGAAACGGACACCAUCGAUUUGGUCAAGAUGUUCGAGAAUUAGUUGAAAGGGAAACCAUUGAUUUGGUGAAGUAAAUUGAGAAUUUUCUGAAUGGGAAACCAUCGAUUUGAUGACAUAGUUCAAAAACAUGUUGAAAGGGAAACCACUAAUUUGGAAAAGCAUUUCGAGAAUCUGCUGAAAGGGAAACCAUUUAUAAGGUAAAACAGUUCGAGAAUGACUAGAAAAGGAAAUCAUCAAUUUAGUGAAGCGGUUCAAAAAUCUAGCAAUAGAGAGAGUAUCGAUUUGGUGAAACAAAUUGAGAAUAUGGUGAAAGGGAAACCAGUGGUUUGAUGAAGUAGUUCGAGAAUCUGCUGAAAAGGAAAUCGUUGAUUUGAUGAAUCAGAUCGGGAAUCUAUUGAAAUGUGGCUUACGGACGUCUCAACAUAUGAGUGAGAAUCUGUUGAAAAUGAACCAUCAAUUUGGUGAAGUAUUUUGAUAAUCUAUUGAAAUUAUAACCAUUGAUGUGGUGAAGCAGAUCGAUAAUCUACUGAAAGGGAAACCAUCGAUCUAGUGAAGCAUAUCGAGAAUCUGCUAAAAGGGAAACCAUCGGUCUAGUGGUUGAAAGUUUUUUUAAAGUGUUUGAACCCUAAAUUUAUCAUUGUGCUUAUGUUGAACUUUCGACUUCAACUUGGAGGCCAUUAUUCAGAUUCUCCAUAAAGCUGCCCCAUUUUGAGAAAUUAAGGAUAAGGGUUACACCUUCACAUUGAGGUGCUCAUUUAAUUUUCCUUAACUUUUGUCACGAAUACCUAGUGUAUGUUCUUGUCGAGAAUUUUAUCAUUUUAUUGUCAUCCUCAAUCACAUUUUCAUAUUUUUGACUUAUAAUCACUCUCCUUUUCCUAUGUUGCUCAUAUGGGUUGUCAACCGAGCACACUUUUUCUGUUUUUGUUCUUUGAUUUUUACUUAUUUACUUUUUACUUAUUUUUAACACUAUCGAAUGGGUGGUCUCAUUUGAUAGUAAGUAGAAGUCUUAUGUAGGUCAUUGUUGGAGUUGUUCUUGACAGUCAUAACAUAAUAUCAUUCUCUGCUUGGUUGAGAGAUUAUCCUGCUUGGGCUUCUUGUAACGUUUCACUAGAAAAAUGGGAACAACUCAAGAAAAUCGCCCAACAUGGAUACAAGGAUUUAUCCUUCUAUUUAAAUUUUCCUAGAAUGCUAAAUUUGGAAGGACUUAGACAAUGAAUCAUCUCAAAAUAUUCCCUAGUUUCAAAGGUUUCCAUGUUUCUUUUACUUUAGAGGUUUUUAUUGUAGGCACAACUCUUUAAGAAGAACCAUUAAAACAAUGAUCAUGCAAAUUUGACAAGUGUUUGGAUUAUGAGUGGUGAUAUGAUAAUGAUUAUAAAAUUUAAUGUGUUUAAGCUUUUGUAUAUGUGUUGUUUAAUUUGUGUUUAAGCUUUUGUAUAUGUGUUGUUUAAUUUGUGUUUGGUUGCGAGUGUUGAUAUGUUUAUGAUGAAUAGAAAAUUGAACUUAUGUUUGGGCUUUGAGUUUUGUUGGUGAUGGUGAUGGUGAUUAUGAGAGAAUGGAAUGUUAAUCAUAUGCAUUAAGAUGAGAUUGUUAGAAAUUAAUAAUUUCUAAUUAAGGUGGGCUACAUAUAUUUAAUACAACUAUAUUGGCUAUUUAUUUUGGGAUUACAAAACAAGUGAUCUAAUUACUCACAACCUAUAAGACUUCUGAAACUGAUAACGGAUAUGAGCUUAAUGAGUGGAUACCCAAACGGUUGGCCUAUAUGGGAUAAUGAGAAUCCUAUAAGUUAACGCAUAAGGAAAGGUUAUGAUCCUCAUUACACCAAAUCACAAAUAGUUUUCACCUCUUCCCAUCAGAGAGAAAAUGAUAGUUCCAAAAGGAAUUGAGGAUUUGGUUGAGGAAGGACAUCAUACCAUUACUCUAUGAAACGGUAUAUCAAAAAAGUAGAUCAGAGAACAUGAAUUCGAGUAUGAUCAUGACUUUGUAUCGUAGUUGUAUAUUAUGUGUGAGAAUCAUGAGAUUCAAGAUCAUAGGAUUGAUAUUUCACCAAUCAUCAGGUAAUAUCUAACAAGUGGUAUCAAAUCUUUAGGUUCUGAAUUUUAUGGUUCUCCAUUAAAGAUAUUUUUUCCCCAAUUUUUUAUAAACCCUAAUUUUUUAAAUUUGGGGAUUUUUAUGCUUCUGCUAUUGGUUAUGAGAAAUGUGUAUUUAUGAAUAAUGAGGAUAACUUUUAUCUGCUUCUGCUUAUUUGAAAUAUGGGUAGUUUGUAUUAUGAAUCCUUGCAACAUGUGUUGAAGUAUAUAUUUAGAUUUGUACAUGAAUAUUGCAUUAACUUUUAUUACUCUGUUAUGCAAUAUGUAUAUUGUAUGUGCACUAAUACCUUACUGUUGAAAAUUGACUUUUGUCACUUUAUAAUUUUGCAAUUGGCUGAAGUAUAUCUAUAAGGAAUAUAUGGUUUAAGUUGUGUUUUUCAUUUAUACAUAUACAAUAUUGAAUUCAUGGACUUGUACAUAUAUUGUGAAUUAAAAUAUACAAAUAUAAAUAUGUAAGUGCUUCCAGCUUGAGGUUGUUGUGAUGUUUGGAAUUACUGAUGAAAGGUAAUAUAUAUUUACUAUGUGUAUGUGAAACAGUAUAUAUAUUUUUACAUAUAUAUUUUAAGAUAUGCAUGAUUAUAUUUGAUUUGGAAUUUUUUAUAAUGAUUUGCAUAUAUUUUUUUAGGCUUUUCACUCUAGAUCUACUUUGUAUUUUUAUAAGAUUACAUCCAUUUUCAUGUGUUGAUAUAUAUGUAAUCUAUCUUUUUUUAUUUGGAAUUAUAUUAUUGGAUUAGAUCUGUUAAUCAUAAAAGAUAUCAAAUAUGAAUGUUUUAAUUCCAAGAUCAUAAUUUUUUUAUAGUUGACCUAUAUUGUUUUCCUUUUGUCUGGUAAUUAUUUUUCAAUUAAUUGGUGCAAUAUGUUGUCAAAGUAACCUUUAUUGUGGAAAUUGAUAAAUAAUACAUAGAUGAGUUUGAGGUUAUUUAUGAGAAUUGUGUUUGGUCCAAAGGAAGACACAAUUUGACCAAGUAAUAACAUAUAUAUGAUAAUAAAUAAGUAACAAUUAUAAAUUUUUUUCUUGUGAGUAAUAGUCAGUCCAAAGAAAGGCUAUUGUUUGACAGAACUAAUUGUUAAUAUUUGAUCAUUAAGUUGAGAGUACCACUUACAAAUUAAUUUCUCUAUCCAAAGACUAGAAAUUGAUGUUGUUCUAGGUAUCUUGUGAUGAGCCUAUUAUGUGAACAUGUCUUGUUUUAUAUAUAUUACCUUACUUGUUUGUUUAAAUGGUUGCAACACUUAUAGUUUGUUGCAUUAGUUGGUGGUUGAUUGUAUUAUUAAGGGCUUUCUAUUGUUGAAAUAUUGUUUCCAUUUGGACACAGUGUCGUACCAUGUUUAGUCAUGUAUAAAAUGGUAAUAUAUUUUUAAUGGAAAAUUCAAAAGAACCAUCACUAGAAUUCGAAACGCAGAUCCUUGUGAUCGAAAUGAUGCAAUGCUACCAAUAGACUAUAGUGUAUAUAUGUAUUUAUAUGUGGAUAUAAUUAAUUCAUAUUUUGGAUUAAGUGUUGAAUCAAACUCAACUAAAUGGUUCUUUAUUUUAAAGAAAUGACAUUGUUUGACAUUUUAAGUGAACCUAUUAAAUAAGAAGUCGCCAAAGUGACAUCUUUUCUGUGAAUUGUUCAUAAUAAAUGUCAAAGGCUAGUACGUACUAGUAUCUAUGCGAGUAUUAAUUGACCUAAAGGAAUAUUAUUAUUUGGCCAGAUUAUAUACACACAUGUGACGGUAAACAUGUGAUUAUUAUCAGGUUGCAAAUGUGAAUGAUAAAUUAGUCUAAAGAAUGGUUUAUUAUUUGACAUGAAAAAUAUCAUUAGUGAUUGGUAGAAAAUAUCAAGCCAAUUGUAUGUAUGCAUUUUAUUGUUUGACAAGACUAAUUAUCAAUGUUUGAUUACUACAUUGAGCAUACCACUUAUAAGUUAAUAUUUUUGUCCAAAGACAAAAUUUUAAUGUUGUGCUAGGUAACUCUUGAUAUGCCUCACCAUCAUUUGAAUUUAAGUUUUAAAGUUGAAUGUGAGUUUAAUUGCAAGAACGAUUGCAAUAUAUUUUGUUCUUUUAUUAGUGCUGCAAAUAUUUUUGCUCAAAUUAAGAAUAUCUCAUUGUUAAAUGGGACAAACUUUAAGGUGUAUAAGGAAGCCGUUGAAAUUAUUCUCAGCUGUAUGCAUUUAGAUGUGGCACUUCAAGUGGAGAAAUCCAUUUCUACUAUGUAUAUCCUCGAUGAGGUUAAAAUUGAGAAAUUGGGACACUCUUAUCGAAUGUGUCUAGUGAUCAUGAAACGCUAUAUUCCAGAAACGUUUCAGAACUCUAUUUCUGAGGGUCAAAGUGCAAGGAAGUUCCUUGAAGAAAUAGAACCAUACUUUUCCAAAAAUGAGAAGGCGGAGACAAGUAGCUUUUUUGGCUGAACUCAUCUCCAUGAAGUAUGAAAGCAUAUGAAACAUAAGGGAGUACAUUAUGGAGAUAUCUAAUAUCGCAUCAAAACUCAAGUCACUUAAGUUAGAGCUUGGUGAUGACUUGCUCUUGCACUUGGUUUUGAUCUCGCUUCCUGCACACUUUGGGACAUUCAAAGUGAGCUAUAACACUCAAAAGGACAAUUGGUUUCUCAAUGAGUUUAUAUCUCUUUGUGUCCAAGAGAAAGAGAGGUUGUAGAGAGAUAAGACUGAAAGUGCUCAUUUGUCUAUGACCUCUCAGAAUAAGACAAGAACGAACAAUAAGGAUGUUGUGAAAGGGCUAUUUGUGUUUUUCGUCAGAGAAUGUCUAUUUGUUCUACAUUAGACUUUGCCAGGAAAACCUAACAUAAAAGGUGUUGUUGAGUGACGAAACCAAACUCUUAAGGAUAUGGUGAGAAGUAUGCUUAGUCAUUCUUCCUCACUAGAGUCUCUUUGGAGGGAAAAAGUAGUUAAUAAAUGAAAGUGUGCAUGUCAAGAGGAACACUUUGGAAGGCUCUCCUUGAACGUCAUGGUUUUGAUGAGGACAACGUGUACCUAAAAGUGCUUGAAGAUAACCAACAAUCCAACGUGCUUGAGUCUUUUAUUUGGUACUAGGCUUAGACUAGUUUCUAGUUUAAGUUGAGUCGAAGGCUUAGGGCACCUAAAACAUGUCUCAUAUGCAUUUAUCUUUAAAUCAUUUCAUCCAUGAGAUAUGUUCAUUUGAUAAUAUGUUCAUGCAUUACAUAAAUACAUGUAUAUAUGCAUUCUAGGCAUAAAACUAAGUGUCAAACAUGUAUUAUCUAAGUGCAUAACAUAUUCGAUGUUUUCUAUUUGAAAAUACACAUUUUAUUUAGUGUUAAUCGAUUAACCAUACCUUUAAUCGAUUAACCCAACUGCUGUGAAAAGUGGUUGCCACUGGAACACGUUUUUGUAAUGCAGUUAAUCGAUUAAAGGUUCCCGUUAAUCGAUUAACCUAACUGAUUUUAAAGUGUUAAAUCUGAAAAACUGAAAAACAGAAUCAGUUAUGAUUUUUAGUCCCGUUAAUCGAUUAAGAAGGUAUUUAAUCGAUUAUCUGGGGUUCUGGACUGAUUCUUUAUAAACUGCGUUUUCAGAAUUAAUCUCAUAAGUUGCAUGUUGCAUUUAUUAGAGAGUUAGAGCAUUCUACGUGUUAAUUGCUGCAUCUAUUUGUUAAUUGCAUUAGUGAGUUUAGAAAUGAGAGAUUCCUUGCUUUAGGAUUGAGUGCAUUUCAUGUUAUAAUCUCUCAUGUUUUCCCUCACAUGUUCAUGCAUAUUUUUGAUGCGUUUUUCAUGAAUUUUAUAAUUCUGUAACUUCUGUUUUCAUAACUAAUACUUGUCAUUUCACAUGUGUUUGUGUUAAAUGUGCAUUAGAGUAAAGCCUUCAUGUUGUAUUUGAGCUUAGGUAUAGCUUAAUAUUACUCUUGUAAUUCUUGUGUAAUUGUUGUGAAAGGGAAUCUCUUGGUGUCGUAUCACCAGUAGAGAUUGUGUGUUUCUUCAUAGCUUAGAGUGUAAGAAAAGGAAAGAACGAGAGAUUCUUUGGCUGGGGCUACGCCGAAAGAAACGUUUUCUUUAUCGGUAGGAAGGGAGUCAAACCAUUGGAUAGUUUCUUUGAUUUCUUGUCAUUUGCUAAGUGUUGUAAUUGGAUAAUGUGUUUGUAAAUUACAUUGAUUCGAUUAUAGUGAAGGAAAUCUCCCAAGUCAGCCGGGAGGCCUGGAUGUAGUUUGCAGUGGACAGCAAACGAACCAGGAUAAAAAUUCGAUUUGCAGGAUUUGUUUCUCUCUCUCUCUUUACUGUUUUUCAAUCGAUUUAAUUUGUAUAUUUGAUUCAACUAAUACAUUCUGUUCUUUUGUUGUAUUGCAAGCUAUUCUGAUAUACAAAUUUGUAAGCUCUGUAUUCGUUCUGUUAUCGGUUAUUUGUUUCGCAUUUAAUCGUUUCUGUAAUUGCUUACUGGUUCUGUUUAAUCGAUUAAUAUUCCUGUGUUAAUCGAUUAUACUGUUUCUAUUAAUCGAUUAAAAUAGUUUCUGUUUAAAACUGUUUUACCUAACAAUAAAAACCCAUAUGAGCUUUGGACUGAUAAAAGACCAAGCUUAAAACAUUGCACAUUUGGGGUUUUCCAACUGAGACACGACCUUAUAGACCACAGGAAAGGAAACUGGACUCAAGAAAAAUUAGAUAUUAUUUUGUUGGCUAUGUUAUUUCGCUCCUUUUAAUGAACUUUAAGUUGUGAGGUUGAAUUGCUCUUUGAUAUGUGUCGUCCUCUCUCGAGCUCCAACACGUGCACUCAAUUGAAGCCGCACCAACUCUUGUGGUACGAUUAUCAAUUGAAUCAUUUACUUGGAUCUUUCUAUUCAAUCUCUUCGUAGCAAUCCAAGGUGAAUUCUAGAAAACCCCCGAGAAUCCUAAGACUACUCUCGUGAAUUAGGAUUCUAGAUUAAAUAAUUGAAUGGUCGGAUAGUUGGGUUCACCUCUCGGUCCUUCCCUAAUGUAUCUAAGAGGUAUAAUUUGUUGGCCAGACAACUCACACUAAUAAAACUCAGUUUAAUGAUUCAAAUCACAACAAUCAAUGAAACAGAAGUAAGAACGAGUGUUUAUUGAAUGUAAUAGGGCAUGCCCCAAUCCUAGAAACAAAGGGAAUUACUCACUCAUAAUGGAGAAGAGAAUACCAAAUUCUAAAUUGGAUAAUUAUAAUGUAAAGUAUAAAGUGUAAACUGUGUUUAAUCCUUGAGGGAGAACCCUCAUUUAUCCUAAUUAAAAAAUAUUGGACUAAGCCCAACAAAACAAAUCUAAAAAAUAGGAAUAGAAUAUAACAUUCACUACUUCUUUUGGCCCUUCAAUUGGUCUUUGCAUAGGCUCAACACCGAAUUUCAUCUUCUUGCACCCAAUCUCUACUCUUUUUGGCUUCAUUCCAUCCAAAUUGCACAACAUAGCCAAAAACACCCGCUCAACCCGAACAAAGAGAAAUAAAAGCUAAAAACAAUCUUAAAGUCUUAAUUAUGUCCUAAAAUGUAAGUUAAAUGUAAUGCAAAUGUAACAUAAUUUCACACUCAUCAAAUCUCCUCAAGCUUAUAUGUUUCUUGUCCUCAAGCAAGUAUUAUGUCUAAAUUUUACAAUCAUGCAUGAAUGAUGAUAUAAAAACCAUGACCCAAAAUAAUAAGCAAUCUCAUGUUAGUUUUGAAAUAAUCUAGACAUCAAGACAAGACAAUCAUAUACAAAUAUAAUUCAAGCUAAGUCUUCGAGUCAUAACAACUACAUGAAUUGAGUAACUCUUCUUUCAUCACUCUCAUGUGUUUAAAGGUCAUAGUAUUUCGCUCAAAUUUUCAUGAAAUUAAAUUAUCUUAUGCUUGAUUAUAGAUCAAAUCGCCACUUAAUGUAUUUAAAUGCAUGCAAAAGUGAAGAGGUCUUUAAAUGAUUGUAAUGGGGCCAAGGUGAAUGAUUUAUGGUGAGAUAAACAAGUAAAGGAUACUUCAAAAGGCCUACAAAUGUUUCUCCAAAUACUUAAACUUUUUAGACAUCUGACUGAAGCAUUGAGAUUCUUUUAAUAAGCCUUAAUUUAUCAUAUGAUCCUUUUUCGAUCAACCAUUCUUUUUACAAUAUCAUUUUUGAAUAAUUUCUCCUUUAGUACAUUUUGUAUUAUUAUUUUUUCAUUCUUUUAUUCAUUCUUAUUAUUUUUCUAUAAGAGAAAUUAUGAUUUUUUUUUUCUUUUUCACAAUUAUUUGGUUUCUUUCACUACACAUGACCUUUUUACCUUUCCCAUUGCUUCAACCAAACAUCCCAUAUUAUCCCAAACCCUAAUUUAAGUAGCUAUGAAAAACCAUUAAAUUCCUGGCUCAAAAGUGGGCAACUAAUGGGUUUUAAAUGUUUAUAGCAAGUAGUUGAAGGUCAAAAGAAAAAGUUCCCAUUGCCUCUAUCAUUUUAAUGCAUACAAACAAACUUCAAUCUUGAAACGGGCAUAAAUCAAGUUCUAGAAUGUACAACUUACAAAAUUAUGCACUCAUGAAAGCAAAAAGGGUUUUUAUGCAAUUGUCAAUUUAUAUCAGAACCCUUAUUGUGUUUGACCCAAGUUUCUCACAUUUGGUUCAUUCAGCAAAAGUAAUGAAACAAUGACCUUUAUUUAACCAAAUUUAAUUCUCAAUUGUCAAGUUCUAGAUAUAAAGUUUGUCUAGUUGCUCAAGGCUACACUUAGAAAGAAGACAUUGAUUAUUAAGAAACUUUCACUCCAGUAUCUUCGAAUGAUUCUUUUAGAAUAGUAUUGACACUAGUAGCUCAUUUUGAUUUAGAGGUACAUUAGAUGGAUGUUAAGACUAUGUUUCUAAAUGGUGACAUUAAAGAAACGAUCUAUGUGGUGCAACUAGAAUACUUUGUGACAAUUGGCUCAAAGUUAAUGGUAUGCAAAUUAAAGAAAUCCAUCUCUAGUUUUAAACAAGCUUCUUGUCAAUGGAAUCACAAGUUUCAUCAAGUUAUUACCUCGUACGGUUUUGAGGCACAUAAAGUUGGUAAUUGUGUGUAACACAGACUCAAUGGGAGUAAAUUUAUAUUCCUGGUAUUAUAUGUCGAUAAUAUACUUGUUGAGAGCAGUGAUAUGGGACUAUUGCAUGAGACUAAAAGAUUUCUAAUGAAGAAAUUUGAAAUGAAAGAUCUUGGGGAAGCUUCUUUUGUAUUAAGUAUUCAGAUACUAAGAGAUCCUCUCAAGGUAUCCUGAGGUUGUCAUAAGAAAGAUAUAUAGAUAAAAUCCUAGAUAAAUUUGGCAUUAAAGAAAGUAAACCAUGAAAGAAAGAAAAAUGAUGUUAAGAAUUUUGGACAGGUGCUUAGAAAUGUUUUACACCAUACUUAAUGAGAAAAGAACUUCGUAUUUUUUAUGUCUUCACUACAGUGUAACUAUCCAUUUAUUCAACAUCUCAAUCAUUUCUAAAAAAGGAUGAUAAUAAAUCAACCUUGGCUAGAAUGUAGGAAAGGCUUUCUUACAAUGCUUCUACUGAGAGAAAGGAACUUUCUACUCUUAAUACUCUGUAAUCAUCCUCAUGUUCUGCAACUUGAUUAAGAAAAUGUUUUCUUAUUUAAUCAUCAUUGAUAUUGAUAAAUCAUUUUUAACGGGCGUGAAGAAAAUGUUUUGUUAUGAUACUUUUUUGGUGACCAUAGACCAUCAACCAUCACUUAUUAUCACUAUUCACUUUCCUUGUGAUUCAACUUUCUCUUGGUUUGCUUAUAGAGAUGAAAACGAGCCGAACCGGACUGAACCAGAACUCAGCUUGAUAAGGAUCUACUCAAUUUGAAACUCGACUCAAGUUUGAUACGAGUUAUUUUUUAGCUCGGGUUCGACUCGGUUAAAUUUCGCGAAUUGUUCAACUCAACUCGAAUUGGUUCAUUUAUAUAACUCAAAUAAUAAAUUUAUUUUUAAAAAAUAUAUUGCAUAAGGUUAUAUAUAUAUAUAACCUUUUAUAUAUAUAUAUAUAUAUAACAAAAACAAAUAUAAAAUUUAGUUAUAUAUAUAUAUCGAACUAGCUCAUGAACCUAACGAGUCUUAAUAUUUAUAUGAUAUAAAUCAGAUAAAAUAAAAAAUAAUAUAUAUAAUGAUACAUAUACUUAAGUGGGACAAAGUGAGGAGUAAGCUUUACACUAACAUCUUAAGGGUACAUAGAAUUUUAAUUUAUUGAUCAACUACUAAAUUAUAGUUGUGAUGAUAAGUUAUAUACUAAUUUUUUUUAUAAAUUUACCUCAAACUUAUUGAAACUUGAGAUGUAUGUUUACAUUUAGAGAUGUAUAGUUAUUAAUACAGUAUCUGUCCUCAAAUUGGUCACCGUACUAGUACAAUGGUAUAGUGGUUUAACCGAUGGUUCAUUAAUUAACUUAUGACAGUUAAACCGGACAUACAUGCUUAUGUAUAUAACCUUUAAUAUAAAAAUCAACUAGGUAGAUAACAAAAUUUAUAAUUCAUAUUUAUAGUGUACUAAGAAUUCCCAUAGAUAAAUAAUUUUAACAAAUCCAAAGUCUAACCCAUCUUCCAUUGAUGCAAAUAGAAGCCCAAAAGGGCAAAACUAGCAAAUCAACUAAUUGAACAAAUAGAAGAAUCAAGUAAGUAAGAAGCAAGAGAGAUAAGGUGAGAGAUGAAAUGAACACACCCCUUAGUGGAAAAUAGUGUCAACUCUACAAGGAAUAGGCAGGAACGAAGAUGAUACGUUGGUGGAAGCCUGGAACUAUAGAAGAAUUGAAGAAGGAUUGAAGAAGUGUGAAUACUGGAUAGAGAAGAAUCGAAUAAGGGUAGAAGAAUUGUGAACGGUGUAGCCUAUAAAUUUUGAAAAUCCCACUUCCGUAAAACGACGUAGUUUAGGGGUGUAUUUUUAGUUAUAUAAACCGGCUGGUUUAGUCAAAUUUUAACUUGUUCACCAGUUUUGACUAAAUCUGAUCAGUUUUCAACGAUUUUGAUACUUGGUUAGAACAACAACCAUGUCGUACUAGUUAGAGGUCUGGUUCAUUGGUUUACAGGUUGAACCGGCCAGUAUGAAAUAGUUUUUACAUCAUGGUGUGUUAAUGAGAUGGUAAAUAAGUAUUUUAACAAACAAAAAUGAAAAUUAUAAAAGGUAAAUAAUUAAGUUAAUUUAUUUGUUAGGCGUGUGUUCCAUUGAAAUAAUAAAUUCACUAAAAAAUAUUCAGUUUGGAUUAAAAUUCGAAAUCGUUAAGGUGAGUUAAUAGGUGAAUGAGAAUUUGCAUUUAUAGUUACUAUCAAAAUAAAUGAAAUAAAAGCUAAAGCUGAGAUUAAGAAAGAUAGACGAAAUAGUGAACGAAUUAAACUAGAAUUUAUUACUUUUUUUUUUUAUUUUGUAUCAAGUUCUAGAUAUUGUUUGCUAAUAUUCUGUCUAUAUUUCUAUAACUAUAUUAAUCUCGUUUUAGUACUAACUUAAGUGAAGAAAAAAAUGAAGUGAGAGAAAAUUUGAGAUUAUUCAUAAAUGUUAGGGUUGCAAUUUGUUCACCAAGUGAGAAUCAUUAAAUAUAUAAUUUUGUUCAAUUUUAAGAUUUGUCGAUGAUGGUUGUUAAAGCCUAGGUUAUUUUUUAGAAGAAUUUCUAUUGCCUAAAUGUUGGGGUGUAAUCAUUUUGAGGCUGAAAUAGACAAAUGGAAAGUUAUAUUACUAUAUAAUAUGAUAUGGGCAAGUCUUAUUUUCCAUGUUUUUCAAAGUUAUCAUCGAAAAGAUUAUAAGGGUAUCGAUACCUAUUGUACUAUAUUGAUGAUGCUUUUUUUACUUGGACUAUUCUCGCAAAAUAAACAUUAUCUGGUAUACUUCUUAUUCUGAUUUAUAAAUGUAUAAUAAUGAUGGUAAUCUUCUGGACAGACUCUACUGAUGGUACUCUCUCUCUCAAGGAUGCCUACAAGAGCAUCAUGCCUUCUACUGAUUCAAGGCAUUGGUGCAAGCUCAUUUGGUCUAGCUCCAUUCCUCCCUCAAAAUACUUCACCCUUUGGAGGCUUAUAAACAACAGAAUGCCCUCAGAUGAGAACUUACAAGCUAGAGGCUGCAUUUUAGCUUCUAAAUGCAAUCUUUGUCAUGUCCAAGUCGAAUCAUCUCAGCACCUAUUUCUCUCAUGUUCCUUUGCUACUGCAAUCUGGGAUUGGUUGAAUCAUCAAUUCCAAAUCACAAUUGACACAUCUUCUGCUGCUAAUCUUCUCCUUGCUGCCAAAGGAAGUGCUCAAGUGCAAUUCCUCAUCACUGCUGCAGUGGUGCUUGCUGUUAACACAAUUUGGCACUGCAGAAAUUUGAGCAGGUUUCAGGACAAAAAAUUACUUCUGCCUCAAGCUAUCAACAGAAUCAAGAGCUCCCUCACUCUGGCUGGUAAUUCUUCCUCGGCAAUAGCAAGCUCCUCUCUGCUUGAUUCCUCAAUCAUCAGGUCUCUAAAAGUGCAGGUCAACUAUAGGAAAUCUCCUAGAAUCUUGGAAGUCAAUUGGAAGUUGCCUCCCUUUGGCAGGGUAAAAAUCAAUACGGAUGGAGCUGCUAGAGGUCAUCCAGGGCAUGCUGGAGGGGGAGGAAUUUUCAGGGAUCAUGAUGGUUUGUUCAUGGGUGUUUUCUCUACCUAUUUUGGCAUACAUGAUGCUCUCUAUGCUGAGCUUUCUUCAGCCUUUUUAGCAAUUCAAAAGGCUCACAGCAUGGGAUGGCACACAAUUUGGUUAGAAUGUGACUCAUUGUUGGUCACAAAAAUUUUCCUAGGUACUAUGGUUAUCCCUUGGAAGUUAAUGUCAACUUGGAGGUCAUGUAAGAUCCUCAUGUCUUCAAUGGAUUGUUGGAUAACACACAUCUAUAGGGAGGGAAACCAAUGUGCUGAUUCAUUGGCAAACUUCGGCAUUGAUCAAAAUUGCUACACUUGGUGGACUCAUCCACCUUCUUUAGUGCUUCCUUAUUUGUAUAGGAAUAGUAUUCAAUUACCUUCCUAUAGGUUUGUAAACUAAUCUUGUAUGUUUUCAGCUUAUUAAUAUAUUAUGGGCUAAGCCCCUUGCUUAAAAAAAAUUAAUGAUAUUUUGAUCUCUUCCAUCACAUAUUUCAUUAAACAAUUCAUAUCAACAUAAUUAUUUCUUAACUUCUAUUGCCUAAUAUUUCUUUUACCAUUGUAAUCUAGUGUUAAUGUUUUAUAACUUAUCAAAUUUAUUUGAUAAAUGCAUAAAAACAUUUCAAUUCAAAAAAUAAAAUAAAAUUAAAUAAAGCAUUUGGAUUCUAAUAUGGGAUAUUAACUAUGAUACUUCGAAACAAGAAACUAAAAAAGCUCAAGGACUUAUGAUCUGAGUUGUUGUCUUGGAUUCAUUUUGAGAAUUAAAUUAAUUUAGUUAAGAAAUGUGUGAAACUCUAAUUCUUUUAAGCGAGAAGUAAAUGCAAUAUGAAUGAAGUCAAUAAGUAUAUAUAUAUAAUUAUAUUAGUUAAAUUUAAUAAGAACAUAUAGAUUGAUGAAGGUAGAUCUUUUAUUAAUAAUAGUACAUAGGUAAAACUCUAGUGUUAUUAUUAUCUUGUGGAUCACUAUGAGCUCUUACAUGAUAGUAGAUAUCAGCUUAGUAAAGUGUGCUCUAAAUAGAAGAGAUGAGACCCCUUCUUCCAUGGCUUCCCUCCUUCUCCUUUUGUUGUUGCUGCUGAGGUUGAGCAUUUGCAAAGUAAGAUUGUUGUUGGUUCUUGAUUAAUCUCUCAAUGUCUUCAGCAGAACCAGGGAAUGUAAGCUCCUUCACUUCUCUAUCUAACUGCCUUAUCACAUUCUCUUUAGAACCUUUCAAUUUUCAAUGAUUUCCAAACAUAACAGUAUGAGUUAGUAACGCCAAAACCAAAGUCAUAAAGCAAAUAUUAUUUUUUACAAUUAGGUAUUUGUGCCAAAAGUUGGCUUUGUUGCCACAUUGGCUAUGUCCAAGACAUAGUUGGUGAUUUGGCGAUCAAUUUUAUAAUCGUGUAUCUACCUUUUAAACUACCUCUUAAGGUUAAAGUGAAAUAUAUUUAAUUACAAUGUUUGAAAUUGAAUAAUGUUUAUGGUACCUACAAGGAAAUUCCUCUGGUUUUCAUAAGCAUUGAUGCCAAAUCCAAGCAAGCGAAUAUUUGAGGAAGUGCUGAUGGAAAUUGGAUGACUUGUCGGAAUUACGAAAAUGUCACCUUCUGUUAAUUUACCAUUGUACCUUCUCACUUCUUGCUCAUCUUGUUGUUGUUGUUGAUCUCUUAUACCCACCAGUUCAUAAUUUCCUUCUCCUUCAUCAACCACGACUACAAAUAUGGCCUUUGAGUUAUACAUAGUGUGGCUAAAAAAAAGCUCCCUAAAAUAUAAAAAAUGAAAUCAUUAGUAUUAGUAUUGUUGUCUAAGACGCAACACUAGUGAAUAAGUAGAAGGAAUUAUGUGUAUAGUUAUUUAGGAUGUGAUAUAUGUAAUUUACCUCGUUAAUGUCUAUGAAGGUGAGAGAGAUAUCCAAAUACUGAGCUUGAGGGUUUCUGUCUGGGGUGAUCUCGUAGAAGUUGCCAAACUUGUUUGAAUAAAUGGGUUCAUUGCUUCUCAAGUUGAAGGGGCCAGAUUUAGAUGGUUUGCCUUUUCCUGAUAAUGAUUGAGCAUGUUUUCUCAAUUCUUGGAUUUGUUCCUUUGACACUCUCACUAUCACCCCCUCUUCUUGGUGGCUCUGCUCCUGUCCAUGGCUUUGUUCCUCAUCUUCGUGCUCAUCCUUAUUUCCUAAAAGAAUCCUUUGUAUCUCUUUAUAACGGCUCUAUAUUUGAAAUCCAAACAAACAAAUAUGUGAU